rnacentral:lncRNA from 1 species
UGCUGGACGGUGAUGGGUUGGAUGAGAUCUAUCAUGUAAUCGAGUUAGUUUCGACGGGGAUUGAUCCCUAGUAUCCACUAUGUUCUGAGAUUGAUGUUGCUACUACAUUGCUAUGCUUAAUGCUUGUCACUAGGGCCCGAGUGCCAUGAUUUCAGAUCUGAACCUAUUAUGUUGUCAUCAAUAUAUGUGUGUUCUUGAUCCUAUCUUGCAAGUUGUAGUCACCUACUAAGUAUUAAUGCGUUGGUCCAGUUCUCUAUUAAAAGGAGAACCUUCAUAUCCCGUAGUUUUCAUUAGGACCCCGUUGCCACGGGAGGGAUGUACAAUAGAUGUCAUGGAAGUUCUUUUCCCUAAGCACGUAUGACUAUAUACGGAAUACAUGCGUACAUUACAUUGACGAACUAGAGCUAUUUACAUAUCUCUCCGUGUUGUAACUGUUGCAUGAUGAAUACCAUCCGGCAUAAUCAUCCAUCACCGAUCCAAUGCCUACGAGUCUUUCCUACUCGUCCUUGCUACGUUAUUUUACUGCUGCUACUCUUACUGUGUCACUAGUGUUGUCACUGUUGCUACUGGUUACUGAUACGCCCAUUUUGCAUCAUGCUUUCAUGUUGAUAUUUAUCGCUUCUUGGGCUGUUAUUUCACUUCACGGUACAAUACUUAUGCCUUUUCUCUCUUAUUUUGCAAGGUUUACAUGAAGAGGGAGAAUGCCGACAGCUGGAAUUCUGGCCUAAAAAGGAGCAAGUUUGAGAUGCCUAUUCUGCGCAACUCCAAAAGCCUUGAAAAUCAACAUGGAUUUAUUUUGGGAUUUAUAAAAAAUACUAGGCCGAAGAAGUGCCAGAGGGGCGCCAGCAGGUAGCCACAAGCCUGCUAGGCGCGACCACCCCUGGCCGCGCCUAGGGGUCUUGUGAGCUCGCUGCUAGCCCACUGCCCCCCUCUUUUGCUAAAAGAAGGGUUUCGAUCUGGAAAAAAAUCAAGACGAGGCUUUUCAGAGGAUUCGCCGCCGCCACGAGGCGGAACUUGAGCAGAACCAAUCUAGAGCUCCGGCAGGACGAUCCUGUCGGGGAAACUUCCCUCCCGGAGGGGGAAAUCGUCGCCAUCGUCAUCACCAACACUCCUCUCAUCGGAGGGGACUCAUCACCAUCAACAUAUUCAUCAGCACCAUCUCAUCUCCAAACCCUAGUUCAUCACUUGUAACCAAUCUCCGUCUCGCGACUCCGAUUGGUACUUGUAAGGUUGCUAGUAGUGUUAAUUAGUCUUUGUAGUUGAUGCUAUUUGGAUUACUUGGUGGAAGAGUUUAUGUUCAGAUCUUUGAUGCCACUCAUUACCUCUCUGGUCAUGAAUAUGAUUAUGCUUUGUGAGUAGUUACUUUUGUUCCUGAGGACAUGGGAUAAGUCAUGCUAUAAAUAGUCAUGUGAAUUUGGUAUUUGUUCGGUAAUUUGAUGUGUUGUAUGUUGUUUUUCCUCUAGUGGUGUUAUGUGAACGUCGACUACAUAACACUUCACCAUUAUUUGGGCCUAGAGGAAGGCAUUGGGAAGUAGUAAUUAGAUGAUGGGUUGCUAGAGUGACAGAAGCUUAAACCCCAGUUUAUGCAUUGCUUCGUAAGGGGCUGAUUUGGAUCCACUAGUUUAAUGCUAUGGUUAGACUUUGUCUUAAUUCUUCUUUCAUAGUUGCGGAUGCUUGCGAGAGGGGUUAAUCAUAAGUGGGAUGCUUGUCCAAGUAAGGGCAGUACCCAAGUGCCGGUCCAUGCACAUAUCAAACUAUCAAAGUAACGAACGCGAAUCAUAUGAACAUGAUGAAAACUAGCAUGACAGAAGUUCCCGUGUGUCCUCGGGAGCGUUUUUCCUCCGAUAAGACUUUUUCCAGGCUUGUCCCUUGCUACAAAAGGGAUUGGGCCACUUUGCUGCACCGUUGUUACUUUUGUUACUUGCUACUUGCUACGAAUCUUCUCACCACACAACUACUUGUUACCGAUAAUUUCAGUGCUUGCAGAUAUUACCUUGCUGAACACUGCUUGUCAGAUCCUUCUGCUCCUCGUUGGGUUCGACACUCUUACUUAUCGAAAGGACUACGAUAGCUCCCCUAUACUUGUGGGUCAUCAAGACUCUUUUCUGGCGCCGUUGCCGGGGAGUGAAGCGCCUUUGGUAAAUGGAACUUGGUAAGGAAACAUUCAUAUAAUGUGCUGUAAUUUAUUGUCACUUGUCACUAUGGAAACUAAUCCUUUGAGGGGCUUGUUCGGGGUAUCUUCACCUCGAACGGAAGCACAUAGAGUUGCUCCUCAACCUGCUGCACCUACUGAAAAUAUUUGCUAUGAAUCUCCUUCGGGUAUGCUUGAGAAACUGCUGGCUAAUCCUUUACAGGAGAUGGAACAUCACAUCCAGACUUGCAUCUAAUCUAUGUAGAUGAAGUUUGUGGUUUAUUUAAGCUUGCAGGUUUGCCCGAGGAUGAGGUCAAGAAGAAGGUCUUUCCCUUAUCUUUGAGGGAUAAGGCGUUGACAUGGUAUAGGCUAUGUGAUGAUACUAGAUCAUGGAACUACAAUCGGUUGAAAUUGGAAUUUCAUCAAAAGUUUUAUCCUAUGCAUUUAGUACAUCGUGAUCGGAAUCAUAUUUAUAAUUUUUGGCCUCGUGACAGAGAAAACAUCGCUCAAGCUUGGGGGAGUCUUAAAUCAAUGUUAUAUUCAUGCCCCAACCAUGAGCUCUCCAGAGAAAUUAUCAUUUAGAACUUCUAUGCUCGGCUUUGUCAUGAUUAUCGCACCAUGCUUGACACUUCUUGUACCGGUUCUUUUGUGAAGAGAGAUAUUGACUUCAAAUGGAAUUUAUUGGAGAGGAUUAAACGCAACUCUGAAGAUUGGGAGCUUGAUGAAGGUAAGGAGUCAGGUAUGAAUUUCAAGUUUGAUUGCGUUAAAUCCUUUGUUGAAACGAAUACUUUUUGUGAUUUUAGCGCUAAGUAUGGACUUGACUCUGAGAUAGUAGCUUCAUUGUGUGAAUCCUUUGCUGCUCACAUUGAUAUCCCCAAAGAGAAGUGGUUUAAAUAUCAUCCUCCCUUAGAGGUCAAUGUAGUUAAACCCAAUCCAGUUGAAGAGAGAGUCAUUGCCUAUAAUGAUCCUAUUGUUCCCAGUGCUUGCAUUGAGAAACCACCUUUCCAUGUUAGGAUAAAGGAUAAUUCUAAAGCUUCAACUGUGAUACAUAGAGGCUACAUUAGAACACCUACACCCCCUGAGAAAAUUAGAGUUGAACCUAGCAUUGUUAUUAUCAAAGAUCUCCUAUCCGACAAUGUUGAUGGCCAUGAUAUUCACUUCUGUGAAGAUGCUGCUAGAAUUGCUAAACCACAUACUAGAGACAAACAUAGGCCUGUUGUUGGCACGCCUGUUGUCUCUGUUAAGAUAGGAGAUCAUUGUUAUCAUGGUUUAUGUGACGUGGGUGCUAGUGUUAGUGCAAUACCUCAAUCCUUAUAUGAUGAAAUCAAAGACGAGAUUGCACCUGUUGAGAUAGAGCCUAUUGAUGUCACUAUUCAGCUUGCCAAUAGAGAUACUAUCUGCCCUGUGGGAAUUGUUAGGCAUAUUGAAGUCUUGUGUGGUAAAACGAAGUAUCCUGUUGAUUUCCUCGUUCUUGCUACCACUCAAGAUAGCUUUUGUCCCAUCAUAUUUGGCAGACCUUUUCUCAAUACAGUCAAUGCUCAUAUUGACUGUGAGAAGCAAACUGUCACUGUUGGCUUUGAAGGUGUGUCACACGAGUUCAAUUUCUCCAAGUUUGGUAGACAACCUCAUGAAAAAGAGUUGCCUAGUAGGGAUGAAACUAUUGCCUUAGCUUCUAUUGCCGUGCCUCCUACUGAUCCUUUAGAGAAAUACUUGCUUGAGCAUGAAAAUGAUAUGCAUAUGGAUGAAAGGGAUGAGAUAGAUAGAGUUGUCUUAGAACAAUAUCCUAUCCUUAAGAAUAAUUUGCAUGUUGAACUGCUUGGGGAUCCACCCCCACCGAAGGGUGAUCCUGUGUUCGAGCUUAAACAGUUGCCUGAUACUCUUAAGUAUGCUUAUCUUGAUGAAAAAGAGAUAUAUCAUGUUAUAAUUAGUGCUAACCUCUCAGAGCAUGAAGAAAAGAAGUUACUAAAAACUCUGAGGAAGCACCGUGCUGCUAUUGGAUACUCUUGAUGAUCUUAAGGGCAUUAGUCCCACCCUAUGCCAGCACAAGAUUAAAACUGAUCCUGAUUCCAAACCAGUUGCUGAUCAUCAACGGAGAUUAAAUCCUAAGAUGAAAGAGGUAGUAAGAAAAGAAAUACUAAAGCUCCUGGAAGCGGGUAUUAUCUAUCCUGUUGCUCAUAGUGAUUGGGUAAGUCUGGUGCAUUGCGUCCCUAAGAAGGGAGGCAUUACCGUUGUCCCUAAUGAUAAGGAUGAAUUGAUCCCACAGAGUAUUAUUACUGGCUAUAGGAUGGUGAUCGAUUUUAGGAAAUUGAAUAAAGCCACUAGGACAGAUCAUUACCCUUUGCCUUUUGUAAGUGCAUCUAGUGCCCCUAAAUGAUUUUGGUGGUUUGAAGACUUAUAGGUUAAGUAUCUAAUGUGUUCAUGAGUGUACACAUGAUCUAUAAGUCACUGAGGAGUUUGAAAUAUUUGAUGAAUAUCGACCCCUAAAAAUGUAUAUCUUCGGUUGAAGAAAUUGGUCUGAAGCUAUAGAAUUGAAUCGCGAAGAAUCUGCGAUGAAAUUGAUAUUCCUCAUGAAGAUAUUGAAAUUGAGGAAUUCGGUGUGUCCUGAAGAAAAUCAUUCUGAAGACUUUGAAGCAUGAAGAUUUACUCUUUCUGUUUUGUUUUCUUCACACUUGAGUAAUAGGAACACCGUACUAUUAAAGGGGGUCAAGGUAACACUUUGGAAUGAAUUUCCUCAUGAUGCUCAACCCAAGCCUAAUCCUACCAAAAGCCUCAAGUGAGGAAUAUGAGUGACAUGAGGACUCUCACAGUUCAGGGUUCCGACCGUUUCGAUAGCCACGCCACAUCAUUGGUCUUAUCCACACCAACGGUCAUAUUAUUUAAGGGCAUUAGUGUCAAAUCAUGUAAAAUCCCAAAUUUUGGAAUGUUAAAAUAAUCAUUACAUUGUUUGUUUGUUUGCUUAAGUGAUUGAAACUUGUGUGAAAUUUGAAACUUUUCAAAAACUUUUGAAUGAGAGGGAAUAAAAUGACUUUCCCCAUCUCCGAUGAAUUCAAGUUCAAUCUUUUAAAAGAAAAGAGAGAAGAUGACAUGACUUCUUCAACUAUAAACAAUUUGAACGGAGUUUGCACUUGAUUUAUUUCAAAAUAUUUGCCCUUGCUUCUAUAUUUUUCUUCCCCGACAAAAUUCUUGCACGCAAGAAAGAGCGGAGGAAAAUGACCCUGCAAAAACCAGGGCCAUUCAUUGAAAUAUUUUGAGGCAAGAAAAAACCAAAUUUUAAUUUGAGAAAAUAAUUGCAAAAAGAAAUAAUGCUUUUAGGGAUUUUUUGGAAAAAACAUUUUUUUAAGUUUUUAUUUUGGCCGUGGAAAAAUGCCCAUCAUUUAGAUUUUAUUUUUCUGAUAAUUUUAGUAUAUAGAAACUCUAUAUUCCGAAUUGAUUUGAUUUCCGUUUUAUCGUUUUAGUUUCCUAGUUUUGAAGAAGGAAAGAAAUCGUGUUUAAAUGGAAAUAAACGGUGGCCCAUUAAGACAUUUCCAAAAACUGGCCUAACAUGAUCUUCUUCUUCCUCUAUCUCCUUCCUCAUGUGCACAAAAAACUUCCAUAGCCAUGGUGAGAGGAAUCUCCACUUUCCCGAUCUCCUUGCUCCUUCCUUCUCCGAGCACCCCGAGCCCCUAUAAAUACUCCCCUCAACCUUCUCUCCCCAUUUUCCCCAUAGCCCAGCCCCUCGCCUCGUCGGAACGCAGCCCCCACCUCGCCGGAGUUCGCCUCCAACAGGAACUCGCCGGAGCUCCUGCUGCUCCCUCCCGUCGCCCCCACGCUCCGCCGACGCCACCAACCUUCCGCCCGAGCCCUCCUCCAUCACCUAGACCCCUCCACCGCCUCGGCCGGCCACCGGAGCAACCUUCCCGCCGUCUUCUCCAACUCCGGCGACUAACUCCGGUGAGAUCCUCGAAAUCCCGUAUUGCAGUUUUUUCAGAAAAUUGCAAUCUUAGAAAAUUCAUAUCUAUUAGUUUGUAACUCCAAAUUAGAUGAUUCUUUUUGCGUUGGAUCAAAAAAUUUAUGCAGUUUCUGUAGAUAUAUAAUUUGUCUAUUUUUGAAUUUAUAACAAUUGAGUUAGAUCAGAUUUGAAUUAAAGCAUGUUUUGCUUAUUCCGGGAGUUUAAAAAUAGCUUUUAAUUUGAUUCGUUUUGCUGCUGUUUCCUAUUGAUCAUAUCUUUCAGUAGUUUAAGUUUCAAUGUUUUUUUAAAUAAUUUUACUUAGGGUUUUAAGCAAAACAGAUUCUGUUUUAGCCUUUUUUGUUUUCUUGCUAUUUCUUUUGUAUUAAUUGUUCUUAAUUUGUUUUUUUUAAUUGUGACAAGUUAUAUUUUGUUUUCUGAUAUUUACCAGUAACUUUUCAACAGCAACAAAAUUUUAUUUUAUUUAUUCUUAUUCGUUUGCAUGGAAUCAAUUCUAGUUCUAUACUAACUUGUGAAUUGAUUGCAUUGCUAGUUUGAUUUCCUAUUUUGAAAAUACUUAUAAAAAAUAUUGUUUUGUAAAUUUUACUUCUGUUAUCUUAGUUAUUUUAUAUUUUGUUUUCUGUUAUUUUUUCUAUUUUAGUGUUUUAUUUUCUGUUAGACAAAAACUAUUUAGUGUUUGACGUAGUAGAAGACUCCCUAGUCUUAUUUGAAGUUUCCUUCGGAUUCCUAUUCGCUCUCUCUGUUGUUUUGAUUGCUAGAAUGAUUGCUAGAAUGAUUGCUAGUAUGAGUGAUUAUGUGAAUGAUAUGUUUGUUAUAUAGAUUUCAUCGGAGAGUGACGAGUAGUCUAUCAAGUUAUUUCUUGAGAAAUUCUUCUUCAUCAACCUCACCAGCCAAGUCAUUUGAUCAUGUAUCACCUAUGUUUUAUGCAUCGUAGUUCUACCAUCCUAUGCCGAAUUGCAUGCUGAGCAGGUACUUGGAAAUUAUGGUUACAUAUUGUAGUAUCACGUGGUAGGCACCCAACAACCCCGUUACUAGGCCCGGGACGACAAAUUUCAUAUUGCUAUGCUUGAGUAGACGGGAUUCGGUUGAGUGCAUAACACGAGUGAUGCGAGGUUGAUUAAAUAAUCAAGACCGGUUAAGACAAGAUUUUCAAGACCUCGGACGCAAUGCAACUCUGGGUGAAGGACGGUUGAUCGGCUCCCUGGAGAACCCAGUGGAUGACCCGGGAUGCUGGAGAGGCCAUGACAUCCUGCGGAAAGCUUCACCCAGGCUCAAAGGGACGGACGGAUAUUUUCAAGACCCAAGGCUUACCUGCACAGCCACAAGUCAUUAUGGGCUCUGGCUUGGUUGGACAACGCGGCGACUCUGGACAGGCGGUGCUAGCAGAUGUAGAAGAAUGGUAGGAAUGGAUGGGCACCGACAGGGAUUCAGAGGGACCAGUUGAAAGACCAUGGUUUGAUCAUCCGGUCUUCAAACACCCUGAAGUGCGAGGACAUACACGGAGGCGAUCAAAUCUUGUGGGGAACGUGUGCAAAACUCUGCAGAGUACUCAAACCUAAUCGAUUAGCCGUGUCCACGGUCAUGGACAACUUGAGCCAAAGGAACUGAAGUUAUCUGGAUUUCUCAGCACCAUUAAAUAUAUUUGAUGUGGGAAUUAUUGACAACUCAGGUACGAGAAUUGGUUGGCGGAACCAUCUCGUUAACAACCAACAAUGUAGUAACAUUUUGCUUUUAGCCCUCUCUUGAUGUAGGAUAAAACUUGCUUUUCGCUAAAAACUUAUAGCCCCACCUGCCAUAUAUGCAUAUAGUAUAGAUGAUUACUUUUCACCCCUCUCUUAUGUGACUUGCCGGCAUAUUCAAUAUGCUGACCUACACGGCUGCAACGUCUUAUGUUGCAGAUAUUUUUCUUCGACGAGUAAGAGUACGAUUCAGGGUUACGGUCUACACUCAACUGUCGUUGGUGUUAUUUGGGACUCCACUCCCUUGACUGCUUCCACUGAAAUAUUUAAGGUAUAUAUCAGUUUUACGCUAUUUACAUGUGAUUGCACUUUGAUAUAUACAUUGAUGUACUGUGUGUGCCAGCAUACUGAUCCAGGGAUGGCACAGAAACACAGAGGCUUGACUCGUUUUGAGUCGGGUCGCUGCAAAUCAUGUCGGGAUGCUCCCAGGCUAUAAGUAGCCGCCCCCCACAACCAUUAGCUGGUUGGCUGCUCCGUUAGAAACUGAUACUUGUCAUAAGAGCAACCCAAAUUCCUCAGAGUGUUCGAGACUAAUUCAUCAGUGAGAAAAUACCCCAAACACCAAACCACAAACCGGGAACCAAGUGAUUGAGCAUCACUGAAGAAGUUGUUCCUGUGUGGGACUGAAGCCUUUUACCUUUGAGGACUGUGCAUCCUCCAGACGGUUAAGCGUCAUGGACUAGAGCAAUCCAGCAGUCAAUUGUGGAUCGCUGGGUGACCAAGUUUGUGAGGGUUUGGAAGUCUGCCCUAAAGACUUACCAUGAGUGUUGGGCGAGGACUGUGUGUUCUUAGCCCAAGGAGAAUACGGUAGGGACUGUGUGUCCCGGGACUGUGUGUCUUUUGGUUUCAAUACCAAGCCGCUCCAAACCAGAUGUACAACUGUCACAGCAGUUGGAACUGGGUCAUCAACUACUGUCUUCGGUGUGAAACGGGUUCUAAUUCCUCAACUCUUUAUAUUCCUCAGAUUAUGUGUUGACGACUUUCACUGUCACUGUUUGAAGAAUUUGCUGAAGACUUUCUCUGAAAUUCCUCAACCCCAAAUUCUUCACGCAAGUUAAUCUUCAUCCGUUUUCUGCGUGCCUGCUUACUGUGCAAUCUGUUUUCACAUUCCUCAUACUGAAAAAUUGAUGUAGUGAAACUUUGCACUCCUGAUCCUUUACUGUUUCCGCUGUGAGUUAGUCAUCAGUGAGGAAUUUCCUCAAAAGGAAGUUUCUCAGUGAUGAAAUUCUCAAAAUCUCCUGUUCAGCCCCCUCUAGUCUAUAUAACGCACUUUCAAUUGGUAUCAGAGCAAGUUACUCCCUUGUUCUGUGUGACUUUGGUUUAACCAAGUGGAGUUUUAGUUAUGUCGACUACAGGCAUGUCCUACUUUCGAAGAAAAGAACUUUCCCUUCUGGAAGACCAAGAUGCAGAUGCAUCUACAAGCUAUUGACAAUGAUCUCUGGUAUAUUGUGGAACAUGGCGUCCCUAUUAUCUCUGCUAGUGUCUCUGCUGCUGAUGUGAAGAAAUUCAAGCAACUUGAUUCUCAAGCGAAGAAUAUCAUCUGUGGCCAUCUGAGCCCAGGCCAGUUUGGAAGAGUGAGUGCUUUGGGCUCAGCGACACUUAUCUGGGAGAGACUGUGCAAAGUAAAUGAAGGACUAUCAACCCAGCAUGAUUCUCGUGUUGAUGUUCUUCGCAAUCUCUUCAAUCGCUUCAAGAGGCUUGACAAUGAAAGCUACCAAGAUACCUUUGAUCGCCUCACUGACAUAUCAAAUAAACUACAAGCACUCGGAGCUCGAGACAUUACUGAUCACGAAGUUGUGAAGAAACUUCUAAGAUCUUUUUAUUCUUCAUUUGAUACUUUAGUCCUGAUGAUUCAAGAAAGACCAGACUACAAGAUGCUUGAUCCAGCUGAUAUACUCGAAAGACUCAAUACUCAUGAAUUCCAGCAAGAAGAAAAGAAAGAUCUAUAUGGACCAAGCUAUUCUAGACCACGUGCACUGAAGGCUAGAGCAAUUUCCUCAUCUGAAGAAGAAGACUCGGAUGAUAGCAUUGGUGACCCUGAAGAGUUUGGACAGGAGCUUGCAAUGCUCGUGAGGAAAUUCCAGAGGUUUACACGACGUGGCCAGUUCGGUAAAUCUUCAAGAAGAGAUAUGAGGAAAUCAGAAUCUUCAUCUGAGGACUACAAGAAAAGAACCUGCCACAAAUGCAAGAAAUGAGGUCACUACAUUGCUGAUUGUUCCUGUUGGGGAAAGGAAUCAAAGAAGAAUAAAUACAAGGAUGACAGUUCUGAUGACUCGAAGAAGAAGAAGAAAUCUUCAAAAUCCUCAUCUUCAAAGCCCUCAUCGCACAAGAAGACUAGUUUCAGAAAGGCUCGGGCACUUAUUGGCAAGGAAAUGGAUUCCGAAGCAGAAUUAGAGGAAUGUGAUGAAGAGGAGGGUUUUGAUGAAGACUCAUAAUCCGGACAGGCCAGUCUUGCACUUGCAACCACUUUCGUCAGCAAGUCAAUCUUCAACCUUGAAGAAGAUGAUAACCUCAUCCACUCUGAUGACUAUGAUGAUGACUUCGCUCCAACCUAUUGCUUCAUGGCAAAAGGUUCAAAGGUACCGAAUGAUGCUUCCUCCUCUGAUUCAAGUGACUGUGAUACUAAUGAUUAUAAAAAACCCAGUUACAGUAAACUUGCUAUCAUUGCCACUAAACAACAAACUGCCCUGGAAAAGCUUCAGAAACUGCUAUAUAGAAGUGAUGAUCUGUUAAAUGAUGAAAUGAAUCUUACCCAAAUCCUCACUGAAGAUGUGAAAAGUCUUCAGUCUAGAUUUGAUAAUCUUCAAGAUCGUUAUGAUACACUCCUCGCUGAUCAUGAGAAACUUUCCUAUGAAUUCCUUCAAAGGAAGCUUGAUCUAGAGAAGCUGAGGAUUUCUCAUGAUGAUCUUCGUAUGGAAAAUGAUUCAUUAAUAGCUCAACAGAUUAGCGCUGCUCAAGCUGAAUUCAUUCCUCCAUGUCUUAAAUGCAUUGAACGUGAAACUGCUAAUUCUUCACCAGAAUCAUCAAAUGCUUCUAUUGCUACAAAUUCUUCAACUGCUCCUGUAGGGUCAAAUUCCUCACUUGAGGAAAACACAAAUGUCACUGAUGAAAAUGCAAGGCUGAAGGAAUUGUAUGUGACAGGCAUAUACAAAAGUCUCAAAGGACGUCAAACCCUUUGUGAUGUGCUCAAAAAGCAGAUCUUGAACAUGAACCCGAGGAAAGAAGGAAUUGCCUAUGGGAGGAAAUUGAAUGGUGAUGGAUCUUAUUGGAAACCUGAGCAGUAUCCCAAAACCUCAUGGGUUGCUGCUACUGGACCUCCAUUUGAUCCAUCCAAUCUAACUGGCUUUUCAUGUGAAUUAUCCUAUUCCUCAGAUGAGUCAUUUGACUCCAACUAUAAACUGUUCAAAAAUCAAGUUGGUGAAGUAUUUGCUCGAUAUGUUGGAACUAACUACGGGAAUGGACCUCCGCUGAGGAAAAUCUGGGUUCCCAAAAGUUGUCUUGAAAAUCUUCAGGUGAAUGUCCUCAUGAAACCACCAACGAAGAAUCUGAACCCCAGAUCAAAUUCCUCAGGAGGACCAAAGUCUUCAAGAGGAUCAAAAUCCUCAACUGGUCAAAACUAUGCUCGUACCCGUGCUAAUGCUUCUAACAUGCAGGGAAACUACAAGGAAUAUGAAUAUGAGCGUUACUCUUCAAAUCAUUAUGUUCAUAAAUCCUCAAACCAGUUCUCUGCAUAUUCAUACAAAUACUUUAACCCCCCUACUGCUAAGAGAAAUGCAUUAGCUUCAAUGCCUCCUUUAUCAUAUGGUGCUCGCAGGAUGAUGAAUGCUUUACCACCCCUUCAAAUGUGGGUGGUGAAGAAAUUGAACUAAUCACUUCUGCAGGUCAGGUCUCCAGAUGAAAAUCAUCAUCUGAGAAGUUGCUGGAGACCUGAGGAAAUACUUGAUAGGACGCAAGCUAAUAUUGAUGAAAUAGAAAUAUUUCACAUGUCCUUAUAGUUCGGUUAUGAUAAAAUUCCUAUCUGAUGAAAUUGAUAUCAUAUUCUUCAAGUUUGAAGCAUAUGAGAUGGUAAGCUGUACUAAUUCAUUUGCAGGAUGACAAAUCCAAGAGUACUGAGUGGGUUCUUGAUAGUGGUUGCACACAUCACAUGACUGGUGGUAAAAGCCUGCUGAUGAAUAUGCCACUAAUUCCAUCACCUCUGAAGCAAAUCUCAUAUGCUGACAAAGGUAAAAGCAAGGUAUUGGGACUUGGCAAAGUGGCUAUUUCCAAGGAUAGGCAUAUGGACAAAGUGAUGCUUGUUGAAUCCAAAGUCUUCGAAGGUGUAAGAAGAGGGGAUUUGUACAUUGUUGAUUUCUCUACAGGUCCUCAACCAGCCACUUGCUUACUAGAAAAAACCUCACAAGGAUGGCUGUGACACUGAAGACUAGGUCAUGCAGGCAUGAGGAAUUUGCACACGCCUGCAAAGAAGAAGCAUGCCAUCAGCAUCGAAUCAGUCAAAUUCCUCAAGGAUCAUCUCUGCGGUGCAUGUGAAUCUGGGAAAAUGACGAGAUCCAAGCAUCCCUCAAAGACUAUCAUGACCACUACUCGUCCCUUCGAAUUGCUUCAUAUGGAUCUAUUUGGACCUACUCACUAUGCCACACUAACAAAUGCAGCAUCUUUAUAUAGCUUCGUCAUAGUUGAUGAUUAUUCCAGAUAUACAUGGGUGCAUAUCAUCUUAUAUAAAACUGAAGUGCUGGAAAUCUUCAAACGAUUUUCUUCAAGGGCCUCGACGAACUUCGGCAUCAAGAACAAACAUAUCAGGAGUGAUAAUGGAACAGAGUUCAAAAACAAUGGUCUUGAUGAUUAUCUUGAUGAACUCGGUAUUACUCACGAAUUAUCUGCUCCUUAUACUCCUCAACAGAACGGUGUCGUCGAAAGGAAGAAUAGGACUCUGGUUGAGAUGGCAAGAACCAUGCUUGAAGAAUAUCAGACUCCUCGUCGCUUUUGGCCUGAAGCAAUCAACACUGCAUGCCAUAUCAUCAACAGGGUAUAUCUUCACAAAUUCCUCAAGAAACCUCAUAUGAACUCCUCACUGAUAAGAAACCCAAUGUAAGUUAUUUCAAAGUCUUCGGUGCAAAAUGUUGGAUUAGAGAUCCUGACCAUAGCUCAAAAUUUGCACCUAAGGCACAUGAGGGUUUUAUGCUCGGUUAUGGAAAGGACUCGCACACCUACAGAGUCUUCAAUAACUAUCACAACAAAGUUGUUGAGACUGUAGAUGUGCGGUUCGAUGAAACUAAUGGCUCACAAAGAGAGCAAUUACCUUCUGAUCGAGAUAAGUUGUCUCCUGAGGAAGCAAUAAAGCUCAAACCUACUGAAGACAUUGUUCCCACUGAGGAAAUUGAUGAAGAAACCAUCCCCAUCACUGAUGAAAAUCAAGAAGGUGCUCCUGAGGAAAUUUCUCCAGAACCACUUCCUCAGCCCAGACGAAAUCCUCAACUAGAUCAUUCGAGGAUUGCAAAUAAAGUAGAACUUGACAAAAUCCUCAAUGACAUGAACGCGCCAGGUCCUCUCACUCGCUCAAAAGCUUCACAGUUAACUUUUGCGGGCAUUUCUCCUUUGUAUCUAUCACAGAACCCUCAAAAGUUGCUGAGGCUUUCCUGGAACCAGAGUGGAUCCAAGCUAUGCAAGACGAACUUGUCCAAUUCAAGCUGAAUGACGUAUGGGAGCUUGCCAAACGACCAGAUCCUCGCAAUCACAACAUCAUCGGAACCAAGUGGAUUUUCCGAAACAAGCAAGAUGAGGAUGGUCAAGUGGUGAGGAAUAAGGCAUGACUUGUAGCCCAAGGCUACACCCAGGUUGAAGGAAUAGAUAUCGAUGAAACUUUUGCACCUGUUGCUAAACUUGAAGCUAUUCGAAUACUACUUGCUUAUGCUAAUCAUCAUAACAUCAUAUUAUAUCAAAUGGAUGUGACAAGUGCAUUCCUCAAGGGUAAGCUUGAGGAAGAAGUAUAUGUUGCUCAGCCCCUAGGUUUUGAGGAUCCAAAGAAUCCAGACAAAGUCUUCAGACUCAAAAAGGCGCUCUAUGGUGUCAAGCAAGCCCCUCGGGCAUGGUAUGAUACAUUGAAGGAAUUCCUCAUGAAGAAAGGCUUCAAACCUCGUUCACUCGAUCCAACUCUUUUCACUAAAUCCUAUGAUAAUGAGCUAUUUGUGUGCCAGAUAUAUGUCGAUGACAUUAUAUUUGGCUAUACUGACAAACGAUACAGUGAUGAAUUUGCUUACAUGAUGAGUGAAGAAUAUCAGAUGUCUAUGAUGGGGGAGCUGAAAUUCUUCUUAGGUCUUCAAAUUCGUCAACAACGCAAUGGAAUCUUCAUAUCACAAAAGAAAUACCUCAAGGAUGUUCUCAGGAAAUUCGACAUGCAUGAAUGCAAAGGUGCCAAGACUCCAAUGCCUACCAACGGCCACCUCGGCACUGACGAAAAUGGUAAAGAAUUUGAUCAGCAGGUAUAUCGCUCUAUGAUUGGCUCUUUAUUGUAUCUAUGUGCAUCUAGGCCAGAUAUAAUGCUUAGUGUUUGCAUGUGUGCACGUUUUCAAGCAAAACCGAAGGAAUCACACCAUAAGGCUGUGAAGCAUAUUCUUCUAUACAUAGCUCACACACCAACACUAGGAUUAUGGUAUCCCAAGGGCUCAAAUCUUCAUCUGGUAGGGUAUUCUGAUUCUGACUAUGCUGGUGACCGUGUGGAUCGCAAGUCAACAUCUGGCACAUGCCAUUUCCUCGGAAGAUCACUAGUUUGGUGGUCCUCAAAGAAGCAGAACUGCGUAUCACUCUCCACUGCCGAAGCUGAGUACAUUGCUGCUGGUUCAUGUUGUGCUCAAUUGAUGUGGAUGAAGCAAACCCUCAAGUACUAUGGCAUCAACAUGAAGAAUGUGCCUCUCUACUGGGACAAUGAGAGUGCAAUCAAUAUUGCAUACAACCCAGUACAACACUCGAAGACCAAGCUCAUCCAGAUUCGUCAUCAUUUUCUUCGGGGCCAUGUCCUCAAGGGCAAUAUCCUCAUCGACCAUGUGAAGACUGAUGAUCAAUUGGCAGAUAUCUUCACUAAGCCCUUGGAUGAGAAAAGGUUUUUCAAGUUGCGUGUGAGCUAAAUAUCUUAGAAUCUUCAAAUGUUUUGUAAAAACAUGCACACAUCCUAAAACUUAUGCAAAAUUGAUGACUUAGAUGUGCAACACACGAUGAAUCGAUUUUCUUCAACUAAUGAAGAAUAUCACUCUGAGUGUGAAGAAAUCAAUGAAGAAAUUGAUUCUCAGGGCCCUAUGAUAAUUGUAUGCGGAGUCUGUAAUCAACAUUCUUAUAUGGUGGGUCACGCCACCGCCCAACAUGAAAUUCCUGAAGUUGAUUUUCUUCAAAGGUUCCAUUUCCUCAAAAUUUGAUUUUCUUCAAAACAGUUGUUCUUCAUUGUGACGAUUUAUCACAAAAUCCUCAAGUUAGUCAAAUCUUCAAAAACACUUGAUGAUUUUCGUUUACCUAGAUAGACUGUGAUUUCAAGUCCUCAACAACAUUCACUUAUAGCUAUUUCUUCAAGUUGAUAUUUCAUCUAAGUGAAUGUGAUCGGAUCCUACUUUCCCUCUAUGCUAUUCUCAUCGAGUCUAUUCAAUUCUUCAUAUGCGUUCUACUUGAAACUUUGUUCUAAAUCCUCACUGCGUCCUUGUCAGCUGAUGAUUUUGUAACAAAAUCCUCAAAUUUUCAAAAAAAAUAAAAUUUAAUGAACAGUAACUGAGCCCCACUUUCCUCGUUCGGAUCCCCACGAUCUCCACUGCUUUGCUCGUAAGCUACACGUGUCCUGCGGAGACGUAGAGGCAGGGGCUAUUUGGUUCGAUUUAUUCGCGCCAAUAGUAACUGCCUGGCUAUAAAUAUGUCCCCAUCCCCCUCGGUAAAACACCUCUUCGCUCCAUCGCUCUCCUGCUACAGCAAAAGCCCCGAACCCUAGCGCCACCGCUGGAAGUCUCGUCGCCGGCGAAGAAGAGCUUCACUGCCUCGACUUUUCCAUUGCCGAAACCACGCCGGAGUCGGACCAUCCUCGUCCGCUGCCGACGUAGUCGUCCUCUGCAGCCGGGUUAGGGUGCAUUGGACACGCACCGAAAGAGCUUCUCCCUGCUACUCUUCUCUGUUCUUCGUGCGCGCCAUCUAGGGUAAAUAAAAACCCUAUUUUUACAGCAAGAUUGAUCUACUAUUUUACCUCUGAGAUGUGAAAUCUGUUUUUCCUCAAGAAUCCAUAUGCAUCUUUUCCUCAAACACUACCUAUCACCACACUAUUGAUGAACUUCACUAAGCAUCUAAGAUUUUCACGAGAUUCCUUAAUUGUGCGAAUUUUCGGAUCUGUACAACUCUGGAACCCAAGAACAGUAUGCUUAGGCAAAUUCCUCAACCACUGGUCAAAUUCCUCAACUGUCAAAUUUUUUCAUUUUCUUCAAAUCUGAGAAUGCAUAUGACCUCUCCAAAUUCCUCGCAACUAUACUAUGUUCACAGGUACACACAUGUCAGCUGAUGAAUCUCUCGGUUCUCAUCAAAUUAACUCAUUUGCAGCAUUUAUCGAAGAAAAUCUUCAAGUCUCAUCAGAAUCCUCAAGAGUUCAAUCUCAUCAGCAAAAUCCUCAGCUGAAGAAAAUGGAGGAUGACAGGAAGCAAAAGGGAGGCAAGAAACUUGACCAGAAUACAACCUUAGACAUCCGUGAGGAUAUAUACCUGGAUUACUGCACCCCUGAUGAACAUGAAACUAUGGCCAAGAGAAAGAUUCGGCUUCAGAAGAUAGAACAUCGAUGGGCUAAGGAGUGGAAGUAGUACAGAUUCGUCACUCCCAAAUAUGCGAAGAAAUUCGCUCUGAAGCCUCCUGGCAAACGUGCUCCACUUGAGGAUUAUCAAGAAGCACAUCCCUCAAGCCUCAAGACCCUUGAUGACUAUCCUGAUGAAAAGGAAAAGCACUUGGCAAAGCUUAAGAAGCAGGCAGAUGCUGCUGUGAGGAAAUUCAACGAAUCAUUUGAUGUUGCUUCAACUGCCGCUACUUCCUCUGCUGCUGAGACUUCUGGCUCGGCAAUUCCUCAACAAAAGUCAGUGCCAUCAAAACCAAAGGCUUCAAAUCCUCAAGAUAAAUCAGCUCCAGCAUCAGCUACAAAACCAUCUGCGCCAAAACCCUCAGCUCCAAAAUCCUCAACACCACCAGAGGCUUCAAAACCUGAAGAGAAGUCGAUAGUGAAGCCACUGCCAGCUACCUCCAGCUCCUCACUCCCAGCUGCAACCAGCUCGGAGACAAAGUCUUCACCAACUCCUCUGAAGACUAAGGUGACUGCUGGGAGAGGAACAAGACCCAUCCCAAGCAAAAUCAUCACGGUCCCUUCUGCAUCAGAGGGUAGUGACGAAUAUGAUGAUGAAACUUUGCAAGCAAGGAUCAGAAACAAGAAGGAGAGGGUAGCUCAAGCUUCUGGCAGCUCCAUUCCUCUUGCCAUGGACCCAAAAGUCGUCCUAGACUACAUCAAUAUCUGGUAUGAGGACCCCAACACUCCGCUUGAUGAUUUGAAACUUCCCCCUGACAUCAGCCACAUGGUGGCCACAUUCAUCAACGAGGCCAAGUGGAAGGAGCAACAAGCUAAACAAGCCAAGGUGGCUAAGCUCAAGAAGGAGAAAUUCCUCAAGCAAAAUCUCCUCAAUCCGACGCGUGAUGAUCUUGUAUCAACAUAGGCAGAGUUGAAGACUUUGACAGACAAGUACUCCAAGCUUUCCGACUGUCAAAGUCUCAAAAGCAAUUUCAUCAAACUUGCUACUGAAGCAGUUAAUGACUACAACAAGAAAGCUGCCCCUCCAGUACAAACUCAUCAGCCUCUGAUUGAAGAGCUAGCUGAUGAAACUCCUCAAGCUGAGGAAAUCCCUCAAGAAAGCCAUGUGGAUGAACCGGCAAUUGAGGAAAUCACGGCUGACAAUCCAGCUGAUGAUUCUGCUACAGCUGGUGAGACACACCCUGCUCCAGCUGCUGCUUCCAAGUAAGCUGAUGAAUCUGUUCCAACUGGUGCUUCAAAGCCAGCUGAUGACUCUGCUCCAGCUGGUUCCUCAAAGCCAGCUAAUGAAUUUGCUGAGAAAACACCUUCACUAAAAGCUUCAAAGGUGAAGAAAAUGACUCCGUCUGCAUCAGACGUGAAGAAGACAAGGGCUGCUGAAAAGGAAGCCAAGAAUAGAAAGGCUUCUUCAGCAGAAGAACACACUGAGGCCAAGCGCCUCAAAGCACUUGAAGAAAAUGCUCCACUGGACCCUGUGCCUCUUAACAUCGCUCCAUCUUAUGAAAUGGUCACCUUUGAAGACCAGGAGAAAGGGCCAGAUGACUAGAUGAAGGAUGUUGCAUCUGAGGAACAUACUGACGAAGAAAUUUGCAUUGACGACAGUCCUCAGCCCUCCAUUCCUCAUGAAGAAACUGCACAAGGAUCAGCUGCACCAGCUGAUGAAUCUGGCUCUGUCACCAAGCAAGCUAAGGAAGAACAGUGUGAAAAUCCUCAAGCUGAUGAAAUUCAGAGUCCUGCGCAAAAUCCUCACCCUGAGGAUCAGUCUGACCCAACUCCUCCUAAGCAAGAUCCUCAAACUGAGGCUCAGGGUGAACCCAUUCCUCCUCCGGAGCAAAACCCUCAACAGGAUGCUCCCGUUGGCGACAUUCCUCAGCCUGAGGCUCAGCGAGAUCACAUUCCUUAGCCUGAAGCACAACAAGAGCAUGCUCCUCAGCCUGAAGCUCAAGCUGAUGAAAUUCCUCACCCUAAGGACCAUGCUGAGGAAAAUGCACCAGAUCAAGACAAUGCUUUCGUUGUGCUCAACCCAGAGUCUACAAUUGUUGUAUCCCCUCAAGUCCCACAGCAAAAUCUUCAGCCAAUGCAGAGUCAACCGUUCUCCAAGGGGCCAAAGUUUCAAAAGGAGAACUUCUUUCAAGAACACAUGUACUUCAUUGGAGAAAAUUCCUAUGACAAACCUCAAAUCAGGCAUCUGAAGUUUUGGACGAGGACACAGCUCAAUUACUAUGCCUCUGUGUUGUGUGGAAUAAACAAGAUUUUCCAGCACAUGCAUAUUCCUCAUGUUGAGCUUGAAGCAAUACCAUGCCUAGCUCCAGUUCUCAACGUCCUUCAUGAAGCUGGACUUCUCCCCAUGUGCUCUGGUAUCUGUGAUUGGAACAGUGAGCUUAUUCUUCAAUUUUAUGCCACUCUUCACAUAUCUGGGGAUCCAGCAGAUAUCAACACUUGGGUGUUUGACUGGAUGACGCAAACAACACACCACAAGGCUCCUGCCAUUGAGCUUCUGCGUGAACUGCCAGUAUCAAUUCCUUCAGAACAAGCGGUGAAGCUUUAUGAUGAACGUGAGCUGCCCAACGGGAUGAUGGAAGUCCUCAUGAAGCCUUUGGCUAAAGGGAAACCACCGAGAAAAACCUUCCUCAUCCACGAGUCAAAUAUGAACCAAGGACUGUUUACAGAAUCCUCAGCAGCGUCCUUGCGCCAAUCAAGGGAGACAUGAUGAUGAAGAAGACGUUGUAGGCCUCAUGAAGAAUAUCCUCUUCAACAUCACUCAUGGUAUUCCUAUCAACAUCCAUGAUUGCUUCUUCAGGACUUUGGCCGACAAUGCACUAUGUCCUUUUGACCAGAAGAUAUAUGCUCCAUGGAUCAUGAGAUUCAUCAGGAAAAGGACAGGCAUCAACUUUUAUGCAGAUUGCAACAACCAUGUUGGUUACAUGCCUCCUAUCAGGGUCAACAAGAAGACUUUCGAGCCUGUUGAAGAAAAAGGCAAGUCUGUCAUUGAUGAAGGCAGUAGGCCCCUUGAUGGCCAGUUCAGAGAGCCUGAGCCAUAUUCUUCAUGGGAUGAUACUGAGACUCAUCCUCCAAGCCCCGUUGCUCCUCGCGUGCUGAAUACUAGAGAGCUUCUCCUCGGUGUUCACCAGAAGGUGGAUCGAAAUCACAAGUGGGUCAAACGCCAGUUCGGCGCCAUUGUGAAAACCCUCACUGAAACGCAGAAUUCUGUGAAGCUUAACCAUCACUAUCUUCAUGAGGUUUUUGAUCACACCUGGGCUACACUUACUCAUCUGAAGACUCCGGCAGAACUUGAAGAAUUGGAGUUUGAGCGAGACUUUGACUGGUCGUGGCCACCAAAGAAGAAGUUCAGGCCAAUUCCAGUUCCAGACCUUGAGGACAGUUCUUUUUCUUCAUUUUGCACUGCUGAAUCUGAUGAAGAACAACAAGACACUGCCACCGAUCCAAGGAAGAAGACUGCUCCAAAGAAUCCUAACGCAUCUUCAUCAACCGCCAAGGAGUGAAGUCUUCACGGGCAUUAGUCCUCAGUUUGUCCCUUUUUGUCACUUGAUGACAAAGGGGGAGAAACUUGAGAUUUAGUCUUCAAGCGGGAUAUUUUGGGGCUAGUGAACUAUAUUGAAGUUACAAACUCUUGGCUCUUCUGAAGUGUUUAUGUAAUGAGUUGUAACUUAAGCCCGAUGGUACUCUGACGCUUUUGAAUGUUUUUCUUCGCAUGCUUAUUCCUCAAAAUUUUAAUGCACGCAUGCUGGAAUUCGUCGGAUACCAAUUGUCAGCAUGCAUCUUCAAUUUCUUCAUACUAUAUGUCAUAUGUAUGCAUGAUUUACAAGACUGAGGGGGAGAUCUCCAUGAUAUAAAUCAUCAAUGUGCAUUUGCUGUGAAAAGAAAAAUCCACAAGAUAUGCACAUCUUCCGGGGGAGUCCCUCUGAAUCUUGAUUUCAAAUUCCUCAAAUGAGUAUUUACACUUCAUAUUUUUAUCCCUGUUGAAGACUUAACCUAAUUGUCAUCAACCACCAAAAAGGGGGAGAUUGUAAGUGCAUCUAGUGCCCCUUAGUGAUUUUGGUGGUUUGAAGACUUAUAGGUUAAGUAUCUAAUGUGUUCAUGAGUGUACACAGGAUCUAUAAGUCACUGAGGAGUUUGAAAUAUUUGAUGAAUAUCGACCCCUAAAAAUGUAUAUCUUCGGUUGAAGAAAUUGGUCUGAAGCUGAAGAAUUGAAUCGUGAAGAAUCUGCGAUGAAAUUGAUAUUCCUCAUGAAGAUAUUGAAAUUGAGGAAUUCGGUGUGUCCUGAAGAAAAUCAUUCUGAAGACUUUGAAGCAUGAAGAUUUACUCUUUCUAUUUUGUUUUGUUCACACUUGAGUAAUAGGAACAUUGUACUGUUAAAGGGGGUCGAGGUAACACUUUGGAAUGAAUUUCCUCAUGAUGCUCAACCCAAGCCUAAUCCUACCAAAAGCCUCAAGUGAGGAAUAUGAGUGACAUGAGGACUCUCAUAGUUGAGGGUUCCGACCGUUUCGAUAGCCACGCCACAUCAUUAGUAUUAUCCACACCAACGGUCAUAUUAUUUAAGGGCAUUAGUGUCAAAUCAUGUUGGGAUGCUCCCAGGAUAUAAAUAGCUGCCCCCACAACCAUUAGCUGGUUGGCUGCUCCACUAGAAACUGACACUUGUCAUAAGAGCAACCCAAAUUCCUCAGAGUCUUCGAGAGUAAUUCAUCAGUGAGGAAAUACCCCAAACACCAAACCACAAACCGAGAACCAAGUGAUUGAGCAUCACUGAAGAAGUUGUUCCUGUGUGGGACUGAAGCCUUUUACCUUUGAGGACUGUGCAUCAUCGAGACGGUUAGGCGUCAUGGUCUAGAGCAAUCAAGCAGUCAAUUGUGGAUCGCCGGGUGAACAAGUUUGUGAGGGUUUGGAAGUCUGCCCUCAAGACUUACCACGAGUGUUGGGCGAGGACUGUGUGUUCUUAGCCCAAGGAGAACACGAUAGGGACUGUGUGUCCCAGGACUGUGUGUCUUUUGGUUUUAAUACCAAGCCGCUCCAAACCAGAUGUACAACUGUCACAUCAGUUGGAACUGGGUCAUCAACUACUGUCUUCACUGUGAAACGGGUUCUAAUUCCUCAACUCUUUAUAUUCCUCAGAUUAUGUGUUGAUGACUUUCACUAUCACUGUUUGAAGAAUUUGCUGAGGACUUUUUCUGAAAUUCCUCAACCCCAAAUUCUUCACGCAAGUUAAUCCUCAUCUGUUUUCUGCGUGCCUGCUUACUAUGCAAUCUGUUUUCACAUUCCUCAUACUGAAAAAUUGUUGUAGUGAAACUUUGCACUCCUGAUCCUUUACUAUUUCCGCUGUGAGUUAGUCAUCACUGAGGAAUUUCCUCAAAAGGAAGUUUCUCAGUGAUGAAAUUCUAAAAAUCUCCUAUGCACCCCCCUCUAGUCGAUAUAACGCACUUUCACCUUUUAUCGACCAAAUGCUAGAAAGACUGUCUAAACACACACACUUCUGCUUUCUAGAUGGUUAUUUUGGUUUCUCCCAAAUACCAGUUGCACAAUCUGAUCAGGAGAAAACCACUUUCACGUGCCCUUUCGGUACCUUUGCUUACAGACGUAUGCCUUUUGGCUUAAGUAAUGCACCUGCCACCUUUCAAAGAUGUAUGAUGGCUAUAUUCUCUGACUUUUGUGAAAAGAUUGUUGAGGUUUUCAUGGAUGACUUCUCCGUUUACGGGUCUUCUUUUGAUGAUUGCCUCAGCAACCUUGAUCGAGUCUUGCAGAGAUGUAAAGACACCAAUCUUGUCUUGAAUUGGGAGAAGUGCCACUUUAUGGUUAAUGAAGGCAUCGUCUUAGGACAUAAAAUUUCUGAAAGAGGUAUUGAAGUCGAUAAGCCUAAGGUUGAUGCAAUCGAGAAAAUGCCAUACCCCAAAGGUAUCAAAGGUAUAAGAAUUUUCCUUGGUCAUGCUGGUUUCUAUAGAAGGUUCAUUAAAGACUUCUCUAAGAUUUCUAAGCCUGUUACCAAUCUCUUGCAAAAGGAUAUUACUUUUGUCUUUGACGAUGAUUGUGAGGAAGCCUUCGAAAUACUUUAGAAUGCUUUGAUAACUGCACCUAUUGUUCAACCACCUGAUUGGAACUUACCUUUUGAAAUCAUGUGUGAUGCUAGUGAUUAUGCUGUUGGUGCUAUCCUAGGGCAAAGAGUUGAUAAGAAGUUGAAUGCCAUUCACUACGCUAGUAAAACUCUAGACAGUGCCCAAAGAAACUAUGCUACUACGGAAAAGGAAUUUUUAGUAGUCGUGUUUGCAUGUGAAAAGUUCAGGUCUUACAUAGUUGAUUCCAAAGUCACUAUUCACACUGAUCACGCUGCUAUUAAGUACCUCAUGGAGAAGAAAGACGCUAAACCUAGACUCAUCAGACGGGUUCUCUUGCUACAAGAAUUUGAUUUGCACGUCGUCGACACGAAGGGUGCUGAUAACCCCGUAGCAGAUAACUUGUCUAGGUUGGAGAAUGUUCUUGAUGACACACAACCUAUUGAUGAUAGCUUUCCUAAUGAGCAAUUGAAUGUCAUCAAUGCUUCACGUAGUGCAUCGUGGUAUGUUGAUUAUGCAAACUAUAUCGUUGCCAAACAUAUACCACCUAGUUUCAUAUACCAGCAAAAGAAGAAAUUCUUCUUUGACUUGAAACAUUACUUUUGGGAUGAUCCUCACCUUUAUAAGGAAGGAGUAGAUGGUGUUAUUAGACGUUGUGUACCUGAACAUGAACAGGGACAGAUCCUACAGAAGUGUCACUCCGAGGCCUACGGAGGACACCAUGCGGGAGAUAGAACUGCACACAGGGUAUUGUAAUCAGGUUUCUAUUGGCCCACUCUCUUCAAGGAUGCCCGUAAGUUUGUAUUGUCUUGUGACAAAUUUCUAAGAAUAGGUAAUAUCGGUAAACGUCAGGAAAUGCCUAUGAACUAUUCACUUAUCAUUGAACCAUUUGAUGUCUGGGGCUUUGAUUAUAUGGGACCUUUUCCAAAAUCCAACGGGUAUACUCAUAUCCUAGUUGUUGUUGAUUACGUCACUAAGUUGGUAGAAGCUAUCCCCACUAGUAGUGCUGAUCACAACACCUCUAUCAGGAUUCUUAAAGAAGUUAUUUUCCCUAGAGUUGGAGUCCCUAGAUAUCUAAUGAUCGAUGGUGGUUCACAUUUCAUUCAUGGUGCUUUCCGUAAAACGCUUGCUAAGUACGAUGUCAACCUUAGAAUUGCGUCUCCCUAUCACCCUCAGUCUAGUGGUCAAGUAGAGCUAAGCAAUAAAGAGAUUAAACUGAUUCUGCAAAAGACUGUCACCAGGUCUAGAAAGAAUUGGUCUAAGAAGCUCGAUGAUGCACUAUGGGCUUAUAGAACUGCCUAUAAGAAUCCCAUGGGCAUGUCUCCGUUCAAAAUGGUGUAUGGUAAAGCAUGUCAUUUACCUCUUGAGUUAGAGCAUAAGGCUUAUUGGGCAAUCAAAGAACUCAACUUUGAUUUCAAACUUGCUGGUGAGAAGAGGCUAUUUGAUAUUAGCUCACUUGAUGAAUGGAGAACUCAGGCAUAUGAGAAUGCCAAGUUGUUCAAAGAAAAGGUUAAGAGGUGGCAUGAUAAAAGGAUACAAAAGCGUGAGUUCAAUGUAGGUGAUUAUGUCUUGCUAUAUAAUUCUCGUUUAAUAUUUUUUUGCAGGCAAGCUUCUCUCUAAAUGGGAAGGUCCUUACAUUGUUGAGGAAGUAUAUCGUUUCGGUGCUAUCAAGAUCAACAACACGGAAGGUAACUGUCCGAGAGUGGUAAAUGGGCAGAGAAUCAAGCACUAUAUCUCAGGUACUCCCAUAAAUGUUGAAAGCAAUAUUAUCAAUACCAUAACUCCAGAGGAAUACCUAAGGGAUGUUUCUCAGCCUGUUUCAGACUCCGAAAACAAAGAGGUAUGUGAUUCGGUAAGAAAAAAGACUUUCUCCAGUAAGAAUUUUUCUCCGUUUUGGAAUAUUUGAAAAAAUUGAAAAAAUUGCAGUAGUCCGGAAAGCGCAUGAGGAGGCGACAAGCCUGCGAGGCGCGGGCCACCCCCUGCCGCGCCUGGGGGCUUGUGGCCACCGCGUGUGCCUCCCGGACUCCGUUUGCAUGCGGAGUACUCCUUCUGGUCUCAAAAAAAUAAUUUUAUAUUCUCCCGUAAGGUCUGACCCUCGUAUCACACGAUUUUCCUCUGUUUUCGUUUCGAGCCUGUUUUCAGCCGCAGAUUUAGGGCAAGAUGUCUUCUCAAGAUUCAGAGGGGGAGAGCUAUGUGGCCGAUUACCUUGCCAACCCCAAGGUCUAUGGGGACUUGGAUCGUUAUGGUUGGACCACUGAUGAGGAAGAAGAUUAUGAUCCCAAGGGGAAGGAAGGAACAAGUUCCGAUGAAGAGGAGGCUCCUCUACCUCUGCCCGGAGACACCUAUGUGGAGUUCAAGAAGUCGAGCCUCCCUGACUCAAGGAAGAAGCCUAAGACUUUGUUUAUCCCUUCUUGUUUCUUGUAGGAGAGUAAGCAGGAAUUAUGCCAAAGGGUGUUGAGGCUUGAAGAGGAAAAUGAUGAUCUGAGGGAGCAUAAUUUUAUGCUCAAGUUGAAAUUAAACAAGCUCAAGACCUCUGCAACAACUCCACCAUCAUCACCUCCAAAGGAAGACAACUAAGCAUGGGUAUGGGCAAUCCCCUUGGCUUGUCACAAGAUUGGGGGAGUUGCCGCGGUGUCGUAUCACCAUCACAUCUUUUGCCUUUAACUUUGUUUUAGUUUGUCCCUUUUCAGUUUUCUCUUUCUCUAGUAGAAUAAAGGUCUUAGUGUUUUAGGCUUGAGUUUUGCUUUGUGUCUCCCCCGAUGUAUUCGAGCUCGUGAGCCAUAUAAUAAAGAGUGUCUUAGUUAAGGGCUUUGUCUCUUAUCAUGAUCAAAAGAUUGAGAAAAGAACAAAAGCAUGAAAGAUCAUGUAAUGAUCUUAUGGGAAGUGAUGGCUUCACAUAUAAGAAGAAUGAUGACUGAAACUUGUUGAGGGUAGACAAACGUAGACCUUGGUCAUUGUUGCAAUUAAUAGGAAGUGAUAAAGAAGGAGAGGUUCACAUAUAAAUAUAUCAUCUUUGACACCAUCUAUGAUUGUGAACACUCACUAAACUAUUGCAUGCUUAUAAGUAGAUGUUGGACAAGGAAGACAACAUAAUGAAUUGUGUUUGCUUGGUUCCGAACAAUGUUAUAUGAUUAGAGAUCCCUUAGCAUUUGACGAUUUCUUCCACCUCAUACUAGCCAAAACUCCCGCACCAAGUAGAGAUACUACUUGUGCAUCCAUAAACCUUCAACCCAGUUUUGCCAUGAGAAUCCACCAUACCUACAUAUGGAUUGAAUAAGAUCCCUCAAGUAAGUUGUCAUCCGUGCAAGCAAUAAAAAUUGCUCCCUAAUAUGUAUGAUCUAUUAGUGUGUGGAAAAUAAGCUUUGUACGAACCUGUGAUGAGGAAGACAUAAAAGCGACAGACUGCAUAAUAAAGUUCUUUAUCACAGGAGGCAAUAUAAAGUGACAUUCCACCGCACUAAGAGGACACGCAUCCAAACCUCAAAAGCGCAGUCAACCUCUGCUUCCCUCUGCGAAGGGCCUAUCUUGUACCUUUACCUUUUUCCCUUGAAAGAGUCAGGGUGAUCUUCACCAAUUCCUUAUUUCGCCUUUAUCUUGGCUAACGUCAUAUGCUUGGGAAGUAAGUAUUCAUGAAUUAUUAUUGUUAACAUUACCCUUGAGGUAAAUGGUUGGGAGGCAAAACUGUAAGCCCCUAUCUUUCUCUGUCUCCAGAUGAAACUUUGAUCUCAUGAGUACAACGUGAGUUGUAGAAAUUGUAGAGGACGAAAGGAUGAUUGAGUAUGUGGAUUUGAUUUACAAGCUCUUAUUUGACUCUUUCUGAUGUUGUGAUAAAUUGCAAUUGUUUCAAUGACCAAAGGCUAUCGGUUGUUACUUCUCGGUAAGGUUCUUGAUCCAUACUUUACUUUGUGAAGGAAUUGUCACUUUAGCAUGAGAGAUUAUAUGUUGGUAUUGCUGCUCUGAUCAUGAUCUUGAUGCCUGCAUGUUCGUACCUUGUUUUGUCGACACCUCUCUCCCUAAUCAUGUGGGCAUGUUUAUUGAUCCAGGCUUUCGCUUCACGACAAGCGAGGUCUAAACUUGGGGGAGUUGAUACGUCCAUUUUGCAUCAUGCUUUCAUGUUGAUAUUUAUCGCUUCUUGGGCUGUUAUUUCACUUCACAGUACAACACUUAUGCCUUUUCUCUCUUAUUUUGAAAGGUUUACAUGAAGAGGGAGAAUGCCGGCAGCUGGAAUUCUAGCCUGAAAAAGGAGCAAGUUUGAGAUGCCUAUUCUGCGCAACUCCAAAAGCCUUGAAAAUCAACGUGGCUUUUUUGGGGUUUAGAAAAAAUACUAGGCCGAAGAAGUGCCAGAGGGGCGCCAGCAGGUGGCCACAAGCCUGCUAGGCGCGGCCACCCCCCUGGCCGCGCCUAGGGGGCUUGUGAGCUCCCUGCUGGCCCACUGGCCCCCUCUUUUGCUACAAGAAGGGUUUCGGUCUGGAAAAAAUCAAGAGGAGGCUUUUCGGAGGAUUCGCCGCCGCCAUGAGGCGGAACUUGAGCAGAACCAAUCUAGACCUCCGGCAGGACGAUCCUGCUAGGGAAACUUCCCUCCCGGAGGGGGAAAUCGUCACCAUCGUCAUCACCAACACUCCUCUCAUCGGUGAGGACUCAUCACCAUCUACAUCUUCAUCAACACCAUCUCAUCUCCAAACCCUAGUUCAUCACUUGUAAAAAAUCUCCGUCUCGCGACUCCGAUUGGUACUUGUAAGGUUGCUAGUAGUGUUAAUUACUCUUUGUAGUUGAUGCUAUUUGGAUUACUUGGUGGAAGAGUUUAUGUUCAGAUCUUUGAUGCUACUCAUUACCUCUCUGGUCAUGAAUAUGAUUAUGCUUUCUGAGUAGUUACUUUUGUUCCUCAGGACAUGGGAUAAGUCAUGCUAUAAAUAGUCAUGUGAAUUUGGUAUUCGUUCGGUAAUUUGAUGUGUUGUAUGUUGUUUUUCCUCUAGUGGUGUUAUGUGAACGUUGACUACAUAACACUUCACCAUUAUUUGGGCCUAGAGGAAGGCAUUGGGAAGUAGUAAGUAGAUGAUGGGUUGCUAGAGUGACAAAAGCUUAAACUCCAGUUUAUGCGUUGUUUCGUAAGGGGCUGAUUUGGAUCCACUAGUUUAAUGCUAUGGUUAGACAUUGUAUUAAUUCUUAUUUCGUAGUUGCAGAUGCUUGCGAGAGGGGUUAAUCAUAUGUGGGAUGCUUGUCCAAGUAAGGGCAGUAUUUACCGUUGCUAUCAUACUACGUUGCUACUGAUACUUUGCUACAGAUAAUAAGUCUUUCAGGUGUGGUUGAAUUGACAACUCAACUGCUAGUACUCGAGAAUAUUCUUUGGCUUCCCCUUGUGUCAAAUCAACAAAUUUGGGUUGAAUACUCUACCCUUGAAAACUGUUGCGAUCCCCUAUACUUGUAGGUUAUCAAGACCUUUUUCUGGCGCCGUUGCCGGGGAAGCAUAGCUAUAUUCUCUGAGUCACUUGGGAUUUACGUCUGCUGAUCACUAUGAGGAAUCCAAAAGAUCCAAAAACUAAAGUCUUGCCCUCAACUAUGAGGACAGGUAAGGAACCGCCAUCUAGCUCUGCACUUGAUUCACCUUCAGUUAUGAGUAAGUUUGCGACACCACCUCCUGCUAGAAAUUUUGAUAUGUCGCAUGUGCUUGAUGAUGCUACUUCUGCUGUCCAUGAUGCUUGUGAUGAUGCUUUGCUUGAUACUGCUUUGCCACUAGGUGCAUCCCUUGAUGCACAAAUUGCUAGAGUUGCUGCUAGAUGUGAUGAUACUUCUGAAACUGCUGAGAUUAUUGAAGUAGAACCUGCUAUUUCGCGUGUUAGAACUAGCUAUCCUAGAUAUGAAUUGCGUGAUAUGCCUGAGGAUUAUGUUAUGGAGGGAGAGAUAGCUGAGGACUUUCUUGCUUGUAAGGAUAGCUAUGAUGUUGAGAAAUUACUACGCAAGUGGAAAGAAAAAUCUUUGAACACUAGGAUGAAAUAUGACCCAAAGUUUGCUACUUCACCUAUCUUUGUGACCGAUAAGGAUUAUGAAUUCUCUGUCGACCCUGAGUUAAUCACUCUGGUCGAAUCUGAUCCUUUUCAUGGUUAUGAGUCUGAAACGGUUGUAGCACAUCUUACCAAACUACACGAUAUAGCCACCCUAUUCACGAGUGAGGAAAAGAUCCGCCACGACUAUAUCCUUAAGAUGUUUCCUUUCUCGCUAAAGGAUGAUGCUAAGACUUGCUUCACUUCUCUUGCUCCUGGUUGUGUGCGUAGCCCCUAGGAUAUGAUCUACCACUUCUCUGAAAAAUAUUUCCCUGCCCGUAAGAAGUAAGCUGCCUUGCAGGAAAUAUACAACUUUGCGCAAGUUGAAGAAGAGAGUCUCCCACAAGCUUGGGGGAGGCUCGUCCAGCUGCUGAAUGCUUUGCCUGAUCACCCUCUUGAGAAGAAUGAAAUACUUGAUAUCUUCUAUAAUGGACUAACCGAUGCUUCUAGAGACCACCUAGAUAGUUGUGCUGGUUGUGUUUUUACGGAACGAACCAUAGAACAAGCUGAGAUCCUAUUGAAUAAUACCUUGUGCAAUGAGAAUGCUUGGACUAUUCCCGAACCACCUCCGAAGCCAACUCCUAAGAAAAGAGGUAUUCUAUUCCUCAGUCCUAAAGAUAUGCAAGAAGCUAAGAAAUCUAUGAAAGAGAAAGGCAUUAAAUCUGAAGAUGUCAAAAAUCUACCACAUAUCGAAGAGAUCCAUGGUCUUGAUAACCCGAUACAGGUAGUAGAGGUAAAUUCUCUUCGUAGAUUCAAUGAGAGUGCUAUUCCUUUUGAUAAACCUGCUAGCUUAUGCCUGGAUGAAUUUGAUAACUUUGUUGCCAACAACAAAGUUUCAAUGAUUAUGUCAGCAGACAAUUGGAACAGAAUGCUCGCAUGCUUAGUCAUUUAAGUGCUUGUGUGGACAGAAAUGUCAAUGAUCUUAAGCUCUUGAGUAAACAUGCCUCUAUGGUUACUACUCAGGUAGAACAAGUACUUAAGGCUCAGAAUGACUUGCUCAAUGAGUUGAAUGACAUUUCUGUCAGAGUCGUCACUAGAGGCGGUAGAAUGACCCAGGAACCUUUUUAUCCUGAGGGUCAUCCUAAGAGAAUUGAACAAGAUUAUCAAGGAGUUAGCAUUGAUGCACUUAGUCAUCCUAGGAAGAAGAAGAAAGACGAUAGGAACCUGCACGCUAGCAACCCUGUUGCUGUUACACCUGAGAGUCCAAACGAUGUCUCUAUUUCUAAUGCCGAAACACAAUCUUGUGAUGAACAUGAGCCUAAUGAUAAUAUCGAUAGUGGUGUUCAUGAUGAUGCUCAACCUAGCAAUGAUAAGGAUGUGGAGAUUGAACAUGUUGAUCUUGAUAACCCACAGCCUAAGAAUAAGAGAUACGAUAAGAACGACUUCGCUGCUAGGAAGCAUCGUAAAGAAAGGGAACCAUGGGUUCAGAAACCCAUGCCCUUUCCUCCCAAACCAUCCAAGAAAAAGGAUGAUGAGGUUUAUGAGCGAUUUGUUGAAAUGAUUAGACCUGUCUUUCUGCAAAUGCGUUUGACAGAUAUGCUCAAAAUGUCCCCGUAUGCCAAGUACAUGAAGGAUAUUGUGACUAAUAAGAGGAGGAUACCUGAGGUUGAGAUUUCCACCAUGCUCGCUAAUUAUACCUUCAAGGGUGGAACUCAUAAGAAACUAGGUGAUCCCGGAGUGCCCACUAUACCUUGCUCCAUUAAAGGAAACUACGUUAGAACUGCUUUAUGCGAUCUUGGAGCCGGUGUUAGUGUUAUGCCUCUCUCUCUCUCUUUAUCGUAGGCUUGAACUGGAUAAGUUGACACCCACUAAAAUCUCUAUGCAAAUGGCCGACAAAUCAACUGCUUUCCCUAUCGGCAUUUGCGAGGAUGUGCCUGUUGUGGUUGCUAACGUUACAAUCUUAACAGACUUUGUUAUUCUGGAUAUUCCCGAGGAUGAUGCCAUGGCGGUCAUCCUUGGAAGACCCUUUUUAAACACUGCAGGGGCUGUUAUUGAUUGCAACAAAGGCAAUGUCACUAUCCAUGUCAAUGGCAAUGAGCAUACGGUGCACUUUCUGAAGAAACAAUAUCGAGUACAUUGCAUCAAUGCUAUUGAAAAAACUUCAUCAAUUCUUAUUGGGAGCUUUGAAUGCCCUAUACCUACUAUUAAGAUGAAGUAUGAUUGGCUUGUUGGGGAUAUGCACAUCCCCAUUGAGGUAACCUAGUGACUAUUUGAAAAUUCUCCGUUCUUUUUUUCAUGCGAUUCGAAAAAGUUUGUCAAGGAGACUUGAUCAACCUCAUUGACGGAUUUAUUUCGAUGACCAUGGGAUGGAUGAAUCGAGGAGUCACAAACCUCUGUUCCAAGCUUUCACCUUCGGUUGCUUAGAAGAAAAAUGAUAGAUUUAGCUUUAGUUUUCCCUGCUUUCUGCUUUUAACAUCCCGUAGAAAAAUACCCCGAAAAUAAAAGUUCUCCGAAUGCCGUGAAAAUCAAGUAUGAUUUUUUAUGGAAUUUUUGAAAGAUUCUGAGACGGAGAGCUAGUCAGGGGGCUGCACCAGUGGGCCACAAGCCCUGGAGCCGCGGGCACCCCCUGGUCGCGCCUACCAGGCUUUUGGGUCCCACGUGUCCCCCCUCCACUUAUUCUAGCUCCCAUCUGCUUCUCCUACCUCCAGAAAAAAUCGUUUUGCAGCUCAAACCCGUGUUCUUGCUCUUCUUGCUGUGAUUUUCAAUCUCCUUGUGCAAAGCCGCAUUCACCAAACUGUUUUGGGGAAAUUUCUCCUUGGUAUGUGACUCCUCCAUUGGUCCAAUUAGUUUUUGCUCUAGUGCCUUAUACGUCGCGUAUUUUUGCUGCCUUGGUGACCCUAUUCUUGAGCUUUGCAUGCUAAUUUUAGCUGGUCCCAAGUAGUUUUGAUGCGUGAUAUGAUCUCUAGGCACUUGUCGGAGUAGUUGCUAUGAGUUUCGUUGAGCCUUGUUCACUUUUCCUUUGAGUCACUGAAAAUUUUAGAAAAGGAAGAUGUUCAGGAGAAACUAUCAUGGUGGUUCCUCAAGCAAGAGGGGUCCCCGUCUCGCGAUUCGGGAGCCCGAUCCUUACCAACAGAGGAACGCACAGGUACAACCAUGUGAAUGGCCUUGUGAUGAAUUCAUGAUUGAGGCAGGUUCCAAAGACGAGUUUGAUACACUUGUUCACAACGUCGGACUCGAAGAAUUCAUCUCCGAUAAAUGUGAACAGUAUGUUACUCUCACUACCUCUUUUGUUCGUAGAUUCAAAUUUUCAGUUGGCCGUGAUACAUAUGUAUUGUUUGAUCUCUAUGACAAAUCGUAUACCAUGGAUUUAGAGGAUUUCAAUAGAAUUUAAAAGAUACCUGUUUGGGGUAGUCUAAAUGAUCCUCCUAAAUCUUCGGUUAGAGAUUUUUUCUCUAGCAUAACUGUUGGANNNNNNNNNNNNNNNNNNNNNNNNNNNNNNNNNNNNNNNNNNNNNNNNNNNNNNNNNNNNNNNNNNNNNNNNNNNNNNNNNNNNNNNNNNNNNNNNNNNNGGGCGGAGGAUCCUUCCGCGACAACUUCUGGCUUCAGGUGAGGACCCCUCUCCACAUCCCCUCCCCGCCCCAACCCCCGACGACCCUAGCACAACCCCCUCGAUACCGAACGACUGUGGCAGGGUGAGCGGCGAUAAACAACGGCCGAGUACCGAGCGGGCUCUCCUCCCCCGACCCCCUCUCUCUUCUCUACACUCUCGUUGAUCUGCUCCUGGUCGCCCCAAAGCUCACCUUGAUCUGGUUUCUUCUCUCAGAUCAGCCACCGCGAUAAACAGCAAGUUCAGGUGCGGGGUAUUAUGAUCUACCGAGGGAGGGUUUGGUUGGUGCUAAUUGGGUUUCGUCAUUUUUGUGGGGGUAUUAUGAUCUGUCUUAUAGACAUUAAAAAUUGUCAUCCUUGCAGAAAUUAACCCCGAAACUCUUCUUCACUACGUUACUGUUUUCAAUCUCGGCCUAAAUUAUUAGUUGCUGGUGGCAAUAAAACCAAAAUAGUUCAUCUAGCAACAUACUACCAAAUGGUACGGCUAAGAAGUUGAUCCUCCAUUUUUUCUUUCUGGAGAUAGAGGCUUCAACACUAGGAGCCCCAGUGAUAAGAUAAGAACGGGAACAAACUAGGAGCAUACUACCUAAAGAUUGCCCGGAUUACCUAUAUCUUUUCAAAGAUUUAGUCAAUGACUUUGCAACAUAGUAUAUGAGUUCUCCAUUUGUCCCGAAAAUAUAUUCCAUCCCCGUAAUUCAGACAGAAGGGUCAAUCAAUCUGAAGAUGAGGCUGUGCAGAUAGAAAAACACAGAGAGACAUCAUCUUGUGUAGUGUUUGCUUAUGUCCCUAAUAAGAUUCUCUGAAUGAACAAGGAAAGUAAGAGACAAUGGGGGGGGGGGGGGGGGGGAAAAAUAAACUUUUCCUAUACAUAGUUAUUAAUCCUAGACAGGUCUGCCGCAACUGGAUGAUAAUGGCACUUCGCUGAAGGUUCAUCUUCUCUAUUUUUAAAUGGAAUUUUAGUGCCAAAUUUAUAGGAAAUGUAUUUAUGAGUUCAGAGUCAUUAUGAAAAAAAUAUACAUGUAAAGUCUACCAUGGGGCAAUGGAUGUCAAUGUAAUUUCAGUUUUCUUUUUUUACGAGAUGGAAUUUAGUGUUCUUGACCACUACAUGUUCAUUAUAAAUAGUAUUGUAGUUUGAUUAGUUGACUCCGUGUGAGGGCAUAUUUUAUGCCUAAGUAAUUUUGGUGAUUAAUGACAGUACCGCAAAGGACUAAUCGUGUGUGUUGAGAUUUUAGAGAACACAUGUCAACGUCACAAGACGACUCGCCCCUCCUUCCAUGGAACAGAAGCACGGUGUACACUACGAUUCUCUUUCUUUGAGUCAUAGGAACGCCGUACUAUUAAGAGGGGACCCGUAGUGGAAAGGUUUGGGUGGAAUCAAUUUUGCAUGCACACACUUUAUCUCCUUUUCCUUUCCCUGCAAAUUUGGAGUGGCUCCCGCCUAUGGUUUAUCUCCUCUAAGCAAAAAGGUCUCCCAGCGGUAGUGCCGCUGUCCCUAGCGGAAGUACCGCAGGAACUGGCAGAAGUACCGCUGGAACUGGCGGUAGUACCGCCCCUGGUCAGCGGUAGAACCGCUCCAGGAACUUAGUACCGCCAUCCUAGCGGUUGUACUUCGCCGGACUUUUUGCGAAUACUUUCUUGGCGGUGGUUGGCCUGGUAGUGCAUCUGCACUACGAGGGGCCCAGCGGUAGUACCGCUGCAGCCAGCGGUAGUACCGCCGGAGUCCCAGCGGUAGUACCGCUGCAGCCAGCGGUAGUACCACGGGAGCUCUAGCGGUAGUACCGCUGCAGCCAGCGGUAGUACCGCUAGGCUCGGGUUGUGAGUGGGAAAAUGGUUGGAUCUUUCCCCCCACUACAUAAGGGGUUCUUCUUGCUCUAGAACCCUACCUUUGACCCUCCCAAGCUCCAUUGUUUCUCCCUAAGCUCUAAAGUGCCCGAUCUCUCUCCCUAGCCAAUCAAACUUGUUGAUUCUUUAGGGAUUGGUUGAGAAGGCCUAGAUCUACACUUCCACCAAGAGAAAAGUUGAUUCCCCCACCAAUCCCUUGCGAAUCUUGUUACUCUUGGGUGUUUGAGCACCCUAGACGGUUGAAGUCACCUCAGAGCCACAUUCCAUUGUGGUGAAGCUUCGUGGUCUUGUUGGGNNNNNNNNNNNNNNNNNNNNNNNNNNNNNNNNNNNNNNNNNNNNNNNNNNNNNNNNNNNNNNNNNNNNNNNNNNNNNNNNNNNNNNNNNNNNNNNNNNNNGUAUUUGUUCCUAUGACCAUGAGAUCAUAUAACUCACUAACACCGGAGGAAUACUUUGUGUGUAUCAAACGUUGCAACGUAACUGGGUGACUAUAAAGAUGCUCUACAAGUAUCUCCGAAGGUGUUCGUUGAGUUAGUAUGGAUCAAGACUGGGAUUUGUCACUCCGUGUGACGGAGAGGUAUCUCGGGGCCCACUCGGUAAUACAACAUCACACACAAGCCUUGCAAGCAAUNGGCCCACUCGGUAAUACAACAUCACACACAAGCCUUGCAAGCAAUGUGACUUAGUGUAAGUUGCGGGAUCUUGUAUUACGGAACGAGUAAAGAGACUUGCCGGUAAACGAGAUUGAAAUAGGCAUGCGGAUACUGACGAUCGAAUCUCGGGCAAGUAACAUACCGAAGGACAAAGGGAAUGACAUACGGGAUUAUAUGAAUCCUUGGCACUAAGGUUCAAACGAUAAGAUCUUCGUAGAAUAUGUAGGAUCAAAUAUGGGCAUCCAGGUCCCGGUAUUGGAUAUUGACCGAGGAGUCUCUCGGGUCAUGUCUACAUAGUUCUCGAACCCGCAGGGUCUGCACACUUAAGGUUCAACGUUGUUUUAUGCGUAUUUGAGUUAUAUGGUUGGUAAUCGAAUGUUGUUCGGAGUCCCGGAUGAGAUCACGGACGUCACGAGGGUUUCCGGAAUGGUCCGGAAACGAAGAUUGAUAUAUAGUAUGACCUCAUUUGAUUACCGGAAGGUUUUCGGAGUUACCGAGAAUGUACCGGGAAUGACGAAUGGGUUCCGGGAGUUCACCGGGGGGGCAACCCACCCCGGGGGAAGCCCAUAGGCCUUGGGGGUGGCACACCAGCCCUUAGUGGGCUGUUGGGACAGCCCAAGAAGGCCCUAUGCGCCAUAGGAAGAAAAUCAAAGAGAAAAGAAAAAAAAGGAGGAGGUGGGAAAGGGAAGAAGGACUCCACCCACCAAACCAAGUUGGACUCGGUUUGGGGGGGGAGACCUUCCCCCCUUUGCUUGGCCGACCCCCUUGGGGCUCCUUGAGCCCCAAGGCAAGGCUCCCCCUCUUCCCCCUAUAUAUACGGAGGUUUUAGGGCUGAUUUGAGACGACUUUUCCUCGGCAGCCCGACCACAUACCUCCACGGUUUUUCCUAUAGAUCGCGUUUCUGCGGAGCUCGGGCGGAGCCCUGCUGAGACAAGAUCAUCACCAACCUCUGGAGCGUCGUCACGCUGCCGGAGAACUCUUCUACCUAUCCGUCUCUCUUGCUAGAUCAAGAAGGCCGAGAUCAUCGUCGAGCUGUACGUGUGCUGAACGCGGAGGUGCCGUCCGUUGGGCACUAGAUCGUGGGACUGAUCGCGGGACGGUUCGCGGGGCGGAUCGAGGGACAUGAGGACGUUCUACUACAUCAACCGUGUUCACUAACGCUUCUGCUGUAUGGUCUACAAGGGUACGUAGAUCACACAUCCCCUCUCGUAGAUGAACAUCACCAUGAUAGGUCUUCAUGCGUGUAGGAUUAUUUUUUCCCAUGUGACGUUCCCCAACAAUUAACAGGGACGGCAUAUACUGCAACGGCCUCGUUAAGUGUUAACGGCAGGCGUCUUCUCUUUGCCGUCUGUCGUCCCCCCCCCCUUUGCCAUGUGGGGGUAGACGGCAAAGAGGGGAGAGAGGGGGGCUGAUUCACCGCUUUGCCGUCUGUCCACCCCCCCCCCCCUUUGCCAUGUGGGGGCAGACGGCAAAGAGGGGAAACGGAGGGGGAAGAUUCCCCCCUUUGUCGUCUGCCCACCCCCCCUUUGACAUGUGGGGGCAGACGACAAAGAGGGGAGACAGAGGGGGCAGAUUCCCUCCUUUGCCCUUUGCCGUCUGCCCACCCCCCUUUGCCAUGUGGGGGCAGACGGCAAAGAGGGGAACCUGCCCCAUUUUAAUUUAUUUUUUAUUAUAUCNNNNNNNNNNNNNNNNNNNNNNNNNNNNNNNNNNNNNNNNNNNNNNNNNNNNNNNNNNNNNNNNNNNNNNNNNNNNNNNNNNNNNNNNNNNNNNNNNNNNAAGUUAUCAAAUUCAUCCAGGCAUAAGCUAGCAGGUUUAUCAAAAGGAAUAUCACUCUCAUUGAGUCUACAAAGAGAAUUUACCUCUACUACCUGUGUCGGGUUAUCAAGACCACAGGUCUCUUCGAUAGGUGGUAGAUUUUUGACAUCUUCAAAUUUAAUGCCUUUCUCUUUCAUAGAUUUCUUAGCUUCUUGCAUAUCUUCAGGACUGAGGAAUAGGAUACCUCUUUUCUUAGGAGUUGGCUUCGGAGGUGGUCCGGGAAUAGUCCAAGCAUUCUCAUUGCACAAGAUAUUAUUCAAUAGGNGCAUUCUCAUUGCACAAGAUAUUAUUCAAUAGGAUCUCAGCUUGUUCUACAGUUUGUUCCCUGAAAACACAACUGGCACAACUAUCUAGGUGGUCUCUAGAAGCAUCAGUUAGUCCAUUAUAGAAGAUAUCCAGUAUUUCAUUGUUUUCAAGAGGGUGAUCAGGCAAAGCAUUCAACAGCUGGACAAGCCUCCCCCAAGCUUGUGGGAGACUCUCUUCUUCAACUUGCGCAAAGUUAUGUAUUUCCUACAAGGCAGCUUUUGCUUCUUAUGGGCAGGAAAAUAUUUCUCCCAGAAGUAGUAGAUCGUAUCCUGGGGACUACGCACACAACCAGGAGCAAGAGAAGUGGACCAAGUCUUAGCAUCAUCCUUUAGUGAGAAAGGAAACAACUUAAGGAUAUAGUAGUGAAAUAUCUUUUCCUCACUCGUGAAUAGGGUGGCUAUAUCGUGUAGCUUAGUAAGAUGUGCUACAACCAUUUCGGACUCAUAACCAUGAAAAGGAUCAGAUUCGACCAAAGUGAUUAACUCAGGGUCGAUAGAGAAUUCGUAAUCCUUAUCGGUCACAAAGAUAGGCGAAGUAGCAAACUUCGGGUCGUAUUUCAUCCUAGCGUUCAAAGAUUUUUCUUUCCACUUGCGCAGUAAAUUCUCAACAUCAUAGCUAUCCUUACACGCAAGAAAGUCCGCAACUAUCUCUCCCUCAAUAUCAUAACCCUCAGGCAUAUCAGGCAAUUCAUAUCUAGCAGAGCUAGUUCUAACAGGCGAAAUAGCAGGUUCUACUUCAAUAAUCUCAGCAGUUUCAGAAGUAUCAUCACAUCUAGCAGCAACUCUAGCAAUUUGUGCAUCAAGGAAUGCACCUAGUGGCAAAGCAGUAUCAAGCAAAGAAUCAUCACAAGCAUCAUGGACAUCAGAAGUAGCAUCAUCAAGCACAGGCGACACAUCAAAAUUUCUAGCAGGACGUGGUGUCGCAAACUUACUCAUAACUGAAGGUGGAUCAAGUGCACAACUAGAUGGUAGUUCCUUACAUGUCCUCGUAGUUGAGGGCAAGACUUUAGUUUUUGGAUCUCUCGGAUUCCUCAUAGUGAUCAGCAGACGUAAAUCCCAAGUGACUCAGAGAAUAGAGCUAUGCUUCCCCGGCAACAGCGCCAGAAAAUAGUCUUGAUAACCCACAAGUAUAGGGGAUCGCAACAGUUUUCGAGGGUAGAGUAUUCAACCCAAAUUUGUUGAUUCGACACAAGGGGGAGCCAAAGAAUAUUCUCAAGUAUUAGCAGUUGAGUUGUCAAUUCAACCACACCUGAAAGACUUAGUAUCUGCAGCAAAGUAUCAGUAGAAAAGUAGUGUGAUAGCAACAGUAGCAACGGGAAUAGUAGCAGCAGUGACAGCAGUAGCGAUAGAGUAAUAAUAGCAGCAGUGACAACAGUAGUGACAGAGAAACAGUAGCAGCAGUGACAACAGUAGCGACAGAGUAACAGUAGCAGCAGCGACAACAAUAGCGGCAAAGUGACGUAGCAAGGACCAGUAGAAAAAACUCAUAGGCAUUGGAUCGGUGAUGGAUAAUUAUGCCGGAUGAUAUUCAUCAUGCAACAGUUAUAACACGGAGAGAUAAGUAACUAGCUCUAGUUCAUCAAUGUAAUGUAGGCAUGUAUUCUGUAUAUAGUCAUACGUGCUUAUGAAAAGAACUUGCAUGACAUCUAUUGUCCAUCCCUCCCGUGGCAGCGGGGUCCUAAUGGAAACUACGUGAUAUUAAGGUUCUCCUUUUAAUAGAGAACCGAAACAACGCAUUAACACUUGGUGAAUACAUGAACUCCUCAUACUAUGGCCAUCUCCGGGAGUGGUUCCGGCUAUUGUCACUCCGGGGUUGCCGGGUCAUAACACAUAGCAGGUGACUACAACUUUCAAGAUAGGAUCUAGAACACACAUAUAUUGACGAGAACAUAAUAGGUUCAGAUCUGAAAUCAUGGCACUAGGGCCCUACUGACAAGCAUUAAGCAUGGCAAAGUAGUAUCAACAUCAAUCUCAGAACAUAGUGGAUACUAGGGAUCAAUCCCCAUCAAAACUAACUCGAUUACAAGAUAGAUCUCAUCCAACCCAUCACCGUCCAGCAAGCCUACGAUUAUAUUNNNNNNNNNNNNNNNNNNNNNNNNNNNNNNNNNNNNNNNNNNNNNNNNNNNNNNNNNNNNNNNNNNNNNNNNNNNNNNNNNNNNNNNNNNNNNNNNNNNNAGUCACAACCCUCUGUUCCAAACCUUUACCUUCCGUUGCUUAGAAGAAAAAUGAUAUAUUUAGCUUAAGUUUUCCCUGUUUUGUUCUUCUUGCGUCCCGUAGAAAAGUGUCCCAAAAAUAAAAGUUCUCCGAAUGUCCUGAAAAUCAAGUAUGAUUUUUCUGGAAUUUUUGAAAAAUUCUGAGACAGAGAGCUAGUCAGGGGGAUACACUAGUGGGCCACAAGCCCUGCAGGCGCGGGCACCCCCUGGUCGCGCCUACCACGCUUGUCGGGCCCACGUGUCACCCCUCCACUUAUUCCAGCUCCCAUCUCCUUCUCCUACCUCCAGAAAAAUUCAUUCUACAACUCAAACCCGUGUUCUUGCUCUNUGUCGGGCCCACGUGUCACCCCUCCACUUAUUCCAGCUCCCAUCUCCUUCUCCUACCUCCAGAAAAAUUCAUUCUACAACUCAAACCCGUGUUCUUGCUCUUCUUGCUGCGAUUUUCGAUCUCCUUGUGCAAAGCCCCAUUCAGCAAAAUGUUAUGGGGAAAUUGCUCCUUGGUAUGUGACUCCUCCAUUGGUCCAAUUAGUUUUUACUCUAGUGCCUUAUUCGUUGCGUAUUUUUGCUUCCUUGGUGACCCUUUUCUUGAGCUUUGCAUGCUAAUUUUAGCUGGUCCCAAGUAGUAUUGAUGCGUGAUAUGGCCUCUUGGCACUUGUCGGGGUAGUUUCUACGAGUUUCGUUGAGCCUUGUUCACUCCUUUGAGUUACUGAAUUUUUUUAGAAAAGGAAGAUGUUCAGGAGAAACUAUCAUGGUGGUUCCUCAAGCAAGAGGGGUCCCCGUCUCGCGAUACGGGAACCCGAUCCUUACCAACCGAGGAAUGCACAGGUACAACCAUGUUAAUGGCCUUCUGAUGAAUUCAUGAUUGAUGCAGGUUUUAAAGACGAGUUUGAUACACUUGUUCACAAUGUUGGACUUGAGAGNNNNNNNNNNNNNNNNNNNNNNNNNNNNNNNNNNNNNNNNNNNNNNNNNNNNNNNNNNNNNNNNNNNNNNNNNNNNNNNNNNNNNNNNNNNNNNNNNNNNAACCACUCUAAUCAGCUAAUGACGAGUUUCGUACGAAGGGAGUUUUCAAGUAUGCGAUGGAAGAUGAUGAAAGAAGAUCCAGUAGUGUCAAGCGCUCAAGCUUGGGGAUGCCCCCAUGCACCCCAAGAAAUAUUCAAGGAGACUCAAGUGUCUAAGCUUGGGUAUGCCCCCGUGCAUCCCCUUCUCCAUCAACAAUCAUCAGUUCGUCCUUCUUCAUGCUAUAUUUUUAUCACUUCAUUUGUUAUGUGCUAUGCUUGGAGCGNAGCAUCUAAGCUUGGGGAUGCCCCCGUGCAUCCCUUUCUCUAUCAACAAUCAUCAGUUCGUCCAUCUCCAUGCUAUAUUUUUAUCACUUCAUAUGUUAUGUGCUAUACUUGGAGCGUCCCGCUCUUUACUUUUUACUUUGUUUUAGUUUUUCUUGCUGGUCAUAACAAGUACGAACCUAGCCUACUGCUACUGCAACAAAAGAACUUCCAACGGCGCCAGAAACACGUGUUGACGGGAGACUAUUCUUGUCUUGAUACUCCUCAGCAACGGCACCAGGAAUCCUUCUGCUAUGGCUAUGCCUUUAGGGACUUCCUAGGCAAAUAUGCAAAGGAUUCCCCCGUGGCCUUGGAGCCUUGCGUUGGUGUUCCCUCGAAGCGGAAAGGGUGAUGUAGCACAGCGGUGGUAAGUAUUUACCUCGGUUUUGAGAACCAAGGUAUCGAUCCAGUGAAGGAGUAUCACAAGUACCUGCACAAACACAAAAAGCUUGCUCCCAACGCUAUGAAGGGGUUGUCAAUCCCUUAUAGAUUGUUUAGCAAGUGAGAACCGAAAGGAACAAAGUAAUGAAGCAAAGUGAAAGCGAAACUGGAAACGAUAGGUGUGAAUAGACCCGGGGGCCAUAGUGUUUACUAGUGGCUUCUCUCAUGAAAGCAAGUAGACGGUGGGUGAACAAAUUACUGUCGAGCAAUUGAUAGAACCGUGCAAAGUCGUGAUGUCAUCUAUGGCAAUUAUUAUAUCUAUAAGCAUCACGUCCAAAACAAGUAGANNNNNNNNNNNNNNNNNNNNNNNNNNNNNNNNNNNNNNNNNNNNNNNNNNNNNNNNNNNNNNNNNNNNNNNNNNNNNNNNNNNNNNNNNNNNNNNNNNNNAUUAUAUAUAGGGUAAUUUAGUUUGUUUAUUUGGUUAUAUUAUUAGGCUAAUUAGGUUAGUUAGUUAGGUUAGUGCGUUGGACGAGCUCCGCCCUUGCGUUUGUUGGUGGGAUUAGGACCUACCUUUACCUAUUAGCGUGUAGGUUGCAUGGACGUAAUAAAACUGACAAACUUGAUUAGCGUAUGAAUAUAGAUGAUGAAUUAUAUAUUUAUUUCUUGUGCCCCCAUAGGUAGCUAGGCAACAUGAGUGAUCGUGCUUGGAUGUACACUAGUCACCCGAGUUGAGACAAGUCGCUAAUGGUUUUGACUAUAAGGUCCGUUCAUUUGACAAAUACAACAUCAACGNCAACGGGUAUCACUUUCGUACCUUUGGCAAAGAGCUAUCUAUGCCCGACCUAAAGUCUGCAAAUUGUUCUGUCUCUGCUAUCGGCGAAGGAGACACCGAGUAUUAUGGAAGAGUUGAAGCAAUUUAUGAACUUCUAUUCUAUGGUGAAAACCCACCGACCGUCGUAGUCUUCAAAUGUUAUUGGUUUGAGCCGAGGGAGACUAGAAGGACUCAUGAACAUAUAGGACUAGUCGAAAUCAACCAAAACACCCACUUAGAUGUUCCCGAUAUCUAUAUUACGGCUCAACAGGCGACACAAGUUUUCUAUCUACCGUGGGCCUGCCAAACUGAUCCAAAUCUCAAAGGUUGGGAUGUCGUUUAUGAAGUGCCACCACAUUUUAGACCACCUACCCUCAAUGAAGAGGAUUACGAACCUCACAUUAACCCAGACACAUAUGAAGGAGAAUUCUUCCAAGAAACAUGUAUGUCCAAGAAACGUUUCAAGAACCGCUCUACUUCACCCCAAAACAUUGAAGUAGACAGCGACAGUGAAUCCGUCUUAACCCCUGAGCCCGAACAGGAAGAGCUGGAAGAAGAAGAGGUUACUGCUGCGGAUGACCUGUCACUUCUUGACCGAUUACAUAAUGGUGGCCUUCCACAUGUUCUUCGUGAUAGUGAUGAUGAUGAUGCAUAUAUUGAUGAUAGUGAUGAUCAUGAUGCAUUUAUUGACCCCGAAGCAUAUAUAGACGAGCAUGAUUGUUAUUAGUUCAUGUCAGGUAUUCAACUAUUAUACUAUAUAUAAAUUUUGAGUUCAUGUUAGGUAUUCAAUUUUUAUUAGUCAUGUUGGUAUUUAUGACGAUGAUACACUUAAAUUAUAUACAUUUCAUUAGUCCUGUUGGUAUUUAUGUUGUACUAAUUUCAUUUACUCUUUGUCAUGACAGGUGUUGAAAGAUGGUGGGAAAGGGUCGAAAGCACUCCGCGGCUCCUUCUUCGUCGGCGGGUGAUGGGAUGGGUACUUCCAUUCCUGCCUCGCCUCUUCGGAGGGUGUUGCUCUCUACUAUGCAAGGAGCGCCCCCCGUGAGAGGAGGUCGACCCCCCGCGAAGCCGAGAGGCACUAAAGGUACACGUUGUAUUCAUGUUGGUAUUUAUGUUGUACUCAUGUUGUAUGCAUAUUGAUAUUUAUAUACAUUUUAUUACUCACGUUGGUAUUUAUGUUGUACUAAAGGUACACGUGGCCGCGGGAGAGGUAGGGCGGUGGCUGCCACGCCUUCUGAGGUGGCGGCUACACGGUCUCCGCCACCACCCCAAGCUGAUUCACCUGAGCACAGGACUUCUAGGGUGGAUUUGUCUGAGGUGGAGGCUACACGGUCUCUGGUUCACGAGCCUCAGGUCGAUGAGCCUUCGACCCACGAGACUCGUGUCCCAUGGGCUUCAUUCCAGGCGACUCCGGAGCAAAGCAGGGAUGAGGGUACGUCCCAAGAGACCCAGUGGGAUACCUGGGCUGAGCCAAGUGGCCAUGAUGGUAGCGACGAGGAGCUGGGUGAGGGGGCUACCGUCUACCAGCAUGGUAGUUCGGGGCUCACGCUCGUGCCAGCGACCCCUGAGAAGAGGUGGUCGAUUAGGCCAAAUGGGGACAACUAAGUUAAUUUACUCUUAUUUAACCUUUUGCCUUCGCGUUUUCUCAAAUAUCUAAUGUUUUGGCUUUAAUUUGUCAUACUGUAGGGGGUGGAUUGUUGCCAAGGGUGUCCGCAAGCCCAACAACGUCCUUGGUGUUCUUUGCCGUAAAAACUUCCCAGGGUUUGUUACGUUGCUCGGUCGGGAGUGAGAGGUAGGAAUGACCUGGGAGCACUACUUGGGUGCCCCGGCCCCGCCGGAGGUGGAGAUCGACGGUGUUUUGUGCGACACGAGGGCGGACAUGGUGAUCCGAAAGUUCUGGGUAAUUUCUCCUUCACAAAAUUAUAAAUCAACCAUAGCUAUUUAUUGUACUAAUCAGUGUUGUCUCGUUUGCAGACCUACUAUAGGUGUGAGGAGGGAUACAAGGAGGACGCGACAAAGUUUAUCGAAACCGAAUGUCGCCCCUACUUCAAAACUUUCGGCACGAGGCUCGGGUGCAUGCUGUUCGAGACUACUAUGCCACGCGGCGUAUUAGGCUUGACAAGGCGAAGUGCCGUGAUGCUAAGAUGGAGAAGGAGCAUUACAUGAAGGUAAUUACAUAUUAUUAAGGCUUUGUAGUUAGUUUCCUUGAUUUGGUUCUUACGCGCUCAAAUUUCUCUUUAUUAACUUAGGUGCCCCCGAGAUGGUGUGUGGAUAAGAUGGAUUGUUGGGAGGCCUUGGUGGAUCAGUGGUGCUCCGAAACGUGGGAGGCCAGCCACAACAACGCCAAGGAGAGGCGUGGCAAAAUGGUUGGCGUGCCACACCAUCAAGGGGGCGUCAACUUAAUCCAAUUUGGCGAGAACUGGGUAUGUGGUUUGCUUCAUGCCUCAUGCAAUUCAUUCUUAAUGCUAUCUUGAGCCUUUACUAAUACAAUUUUCCUCUCUCUCUCUUUUAGGCGCGUCACAAUAAGACGGAGGCGCCACAGAUGUACGACCUGUAUGCGAUGGCCCAUACUGCCUCGUACAAGAAGGUCAAGGCAUUCUCUGAUCUAACCUCGAGCAUCCAGAAAACUUCACCAAAAUCUCCUCCCACCACAAGCUCGUGAAGUACAGAGAUCACGGGAAAGCGAGGAAGGGGAGGACUUUAACCCGAGCGAGGGGCCUAUUGAUCCAGAGCUGGUGAUGAUAGCUGGCAACGGGAGGCCCCAUGGCUCGAUCGCCAUUGGAGACGGCCUUAUACGUUGUCCUAGCACUCUUCGGCAGAUAAAGGCACGCCAAACGAGCUCUUGUCCGGAGAUAACACGUCGUCCACGGCCAGUCGAGCUCGCCAUCGAGGUUAGUUUAAUGGACUCAACCAUCUUUCCGCAUUAUGUUGUGCGUUGGAACCAAUAUGAUUACAUUGCUAACAAAGAGUUGUGUUGCAGGCUGCUAUUCAGAAAGAGAGAGAGGCAAUGCAGGCGGCUAUGGCGGAGAACGAUAAGGAAAUUAGGGAGCUGGAGGAGAGGACGACUGCAUUGGUGGAGGCGGAGAGGGCACGGAAUGAUGCGUCUAACAGAGCCAUAUACGAUCUCUUCGUGGUAAGUUUCUUCUUCAUGUUAUUUCAAAUCUUGCAUUUGAAUGUCCGUUUCAUUAAUAAAUAAAAAGUUUGACUUGUCGAAACCAAAUGUACAGUCUAUGUGCGAGAAGAACGGCCAAGUCCCUCCGCCGAUGCCAGUCAUUAACGUGGCGGGGACGGUGAGUUUCAUUUGAGUGUAGUGAUCUUAAGAGUGUCCUGAUGCUAACUACACAUUGAAAUGUUGUUUGGUGCAGAAUAUCUCCCGAUACGCAUUGCACGACCCUUCUACAGUCGAGCCUUCUCCAGGGCAGCCUUCUCCAGGUGAAACAAGCCAGAGCCACCGUGCUUCACCGCUGUGAUGACGAUAAUGGUAUGUUAUUUCUAGUGUUUUAAUAAAAAAUAGCUAGACUUUCAUCUAAAUGACAUAAUUAGCUUAGUUAGCUCCAAGAAAGGCUAAAUUGGCUAAUUAUCCUACGAAAUGACAUAAUUAGCUUAGUUAGCUCCAAAAUGACCUAUUUAAUAAAAANNNNNNNNNNNNNNNNNNNNNNNNNNNNNNNNNNNNNNNNNNNNNNNNNNNNNNNNNNNNNNNNNNNNNNNNNNNNNNNNNNNNNNNNNNNNNNNNNNNNUACAAUAUUAGAAACGCCACAGAGCUCCCACUCACUUUCUUGUAAAUACAAGAUUCUCCAACCACUUGUAUAAACCCAAAUGCUUUGAUCACGUCAUCAAAGCGUUUGUUCCAACUCCAAGAUGCUUGCACCAGUCCAUAAAUGGAUCGCUGGAGCUUGCACACCUUGUUAGCAUUCUUAGGAUCGACAAAACCUUCGGGUUGCAUCAUAUACAAUUCUUCCUUAAGGAAACCGUUAAGGAACGCCGUUUUGACAUCCAUCUGCCAGAUUUCAUAAUCGAAAAAUGCAGCUAUUGCUAACAUGAUUCUGACGGACUUAAGCAUCGCUACGGGUGAGAAUGUCUCAUCGUAGUCAACUCCUUGAACUUGUGAAAAACCCUUUGCCACAAGUCGAGCUUUAUAAACGGUCACAUUGCCGUCAGCGUCCGUCUUCCUCUUAAAGAUCCAUUUGUUCUGAAUAGCCUUGCGGCCCUCAGGCAGUACUUCCAAAGUCCACACUUUGUUCUCAUACAUGGAUCCUAUCUCGGAUUUCAUGGCUUCUAGCCAUUUGUUGGAAUCUGGGCCCACCAUUGCUUCUUCAUAAUUUGCAGGUUCAUUGUUGUCCAACAACAUGAUUGAUAAGACGGGAUUACCGUACCACUCCGGAGCAGCACGUGGUCUCGUCGACCUGCGUGGUUCGACAGAAACUUGAACCGGAGUUUCAUGAUCUUUAUCAUUAACUUCCUCCUCAACCGGCGUCGCAACGACAGCGGUUUCCCCUUGCGCUGCGCCACCAUCCAGAGGGAUGAGAGGUUCGAAAACCUCGUCAAGUUCUAUCUUCCUCCCACUCAAUUCUCUCGAGAGAAACUCCUUCUCGAGAAAAGCUCCGUUUUUAGCAACAAACACUUUGCCCUCGGAUUUGAGAUAGAAGGUGUACCCAACUGUCUCUUUUGGGUAACCUAUGAAGACGCACCUUUCCACUUUGGGUUCCAGCUUUUUAUGCUGAAGCUUUUUGACAUAAGCAUCACAUCCCCAAACUUUAAGUAACGACAACUUUAGCCUUUUGCCAUACCACAGUUCGUAUGGUGUCGUCUCAACGGAUUUUGAUGGUGCCCUAUUUAAAGUGAAUGCAGCUGUUUCUAAUGCAUAACCCCAAAACGAUAACGGCAAAUCGGUAAGAGACAUCAUAGAUCGCACCAUCUCUAAUAAAGUACGAUUACAACGUUCGGACACACCAUUACGCUGUGGUGUUCCAGGCGGUGUCAACUGUGAAACAAUUCCACAUUGUCUUAAGUGAGCACCAAACUCAAAACUCAGAUAUUCACCCCCACGAUCAGACCGUAGGAACUUGAUCUUCUUGUUACGAUGAUUUUCAACUUCACUCUGAAAUUGCUUGAACUUUUCAAAUGUUUCAGACUUGUGCUUCAUUAAGUAGACAUAACCAUAUCUACUCAAAUCGUCAGUGAAGGUGAGAAAAUAACGAUGUCCGCCGCGUGCCUCUACGCUCAUCGGACCACACACAUCGGUAUGUAUGAUUUCCAACAAGUCACUUGCACGCUCCAUUGUUCCGAAGAACGGAGUUUUAGUCAUCUUGCCCAUGAGGCAUGGUUCGCACGUGUCAAGUGAAUCAAAGUCAAGUGACUCCAAAAGUCCAUCGGCAUGGAGUUUCUUCAUGCGCUUUACACCAAUAUGACCUAAGCGGCAGUGCCACAAAAAUAUGGCGCUAUCAUUGUUAACUCUAACUCUUUUGGUCUCAAUGUUAUGUAUGUGUGUAUCGCUAUCAAGAUUCAAUAUGAACAAUCCUCUCACAUUGGGUGCAUGACCAUAAAAGAUGUUACUCAUAGAAAUAGAACAACCAUUAUUCUUUGACUUAAAAGAGUAACCGUCUCGCAAUAAACAAGAUCCAGAUAUAAUGUUCAUGCUCAACGCAGGCACUAAAUAACAAUGAUUCAAGUUCAUAACUAAUCCUGAUGGUAACUGAAGUGAAACUGUGCCGACGGCGAUUGCAUCAACCUUGGAACCAUUUCCUACACGCAUCGUCACUUCAUCUUUCGCCAGCCUUCGUCUAUUCCGCAGUUCCUGUUUCGAGUUGCAAAUAUGAGCAACAGAACCGGUAUCGAAUACCCAGGCACUACUACGAGAGCCGGUUAUGUACACAUCAAUAACAUGUAUAUCAAAUAUACCUGAUUUUUCUUUGGCCGCCUUCUUAUCUGCCAGAUACUUGGGGUAAUUGCGCUUCCAGUGACCCAUACCCUUGCAAUAGUAACACUCUGUUUCAGGCUUAGGUCCAGCUUUGAGUUUCUUCGUCGGAUUGGCAACAGGCUUGCCGCUCUUCUUUGAAUUACCCUUCUUGCCUUUGCCGUUUCUCUUGAAACUAGUGGUCUUAUUCACCAUCAACACUUGAUGCUCUUUACGGAGUUCAGACUCUGCGACUUUCAGCAUCGCAAACAACUCGCCGGGAGACUUGUUCAUCCCUUGCAUGUUGUAGUUCAACACAAAGCCUUUAUAGCUUGGCGGCAGUGAUUGAAGGAUUCUGUCAGUGAUAGCCUCUUGCGGGAGUUCAAUCCCCAGCUCAGCUAGACGGUUUGAGUACCCAGACAUUUUGAGCACAUGUUCACUGACAGACGAGUUCUCCUCCAUCUUGCAAGCAUAGAAUUUAUCGGAGGUCUCAUACCUCUCGAUCCGGGCGUUCUUCUGAAAGAUAAACUUCAACUCCUGGAACAUCUCAAAUGCUCCAUGACGCUAAAAGCGACGUUGAAGUCCCGGUUCUAAGCCAUACAAGACUGCACAUUGAACUACUGAGUAGUCCUCCUUACGUGCUAACCAAGCGUUCUUAACAUCCUGAUCAGCCGUAGCGGGUGGUUCAUCUCCUAGCGCAGCAUUAAGGACAUAAUCCUUCUUCCCAGCUUGUAAGAUUAGCUUAAGAUUACGAGCCCAGUCUACAAAGUUGCUUCCAUCAUCUUUCAACUUAGCUUUCUCUAGGAACGUAUUAAAAUUCAGGGUGACUGUCGUGUGAGCCAUGAUCUACAACACAAAUAUAUUCAAAGUGGACUUAGACUAUGUUCAAGAUAAUUAGAGUUUAACUUAAUCAAAUGAUUCGCUAAACUCCCACUCAAAAAAGUACAUCUCUCUAGUCAUUUGAGUGGUUCAUGAUCCACUUACACUAGCUCAAGUCCGAUCAUCACGUGAGUUGAGCAUAGUUUCAGUGGUAAGCAUCCCUAUGCUAAUCAUAUCAUAUAUAUGAUUCAUGAUCGACCUUUCGGUCUCAUGUGUUCCAAGGCCAUGUCUGCACAUGCUAGGCUCGUCAAGCUUAACCCGAGUGUUCCGCGUGCGCAACUAUUUUGCACCCGUUGUAUGUGAACGUUGAGUCUAUCACACCCGAUCAUCACGUGGUGUCUCGAAACGACGAACUGUAGCAAGGUGCACAGUCGGGGAGAACACAAUUUCGUCUUGAAAUUUUAGUGAGAGAUCACCUCAUAAUGCUACCGUCGUUCUAAGCAAAAUAAGGUGCAUAAAAGGAUUAACAUCACAUGCAAUUCAUAAGUGACAUGAUAUGGCCAUCAUCACGUGCUCCUUGAUCUCCAUCACCAAAGCACCGGCACGAUCUUCUUGUCACCGGCGCCGCACCAUGAUCUCCAUCAACGUGUCGCCAUCGGGGUUGUCGUGCUACUCAUGCUAUUACUACUAAAGCUACAUCCUAGCAAAAUAGUAAACGCAUCUGCAAGCACAAACGUUAGUAUAAAGACAACCCUAUGGCUCCUGCCGGUUGCCGUACCAUCGACGUGCAAGUCGAUAUUAUCUAUUACAACAUGAUCAUCUCAUACAUCCAAUAUAUCACAUCACAUCGUUGGCCAUAUCACAUCACAAGCAUACCCUGCAAAAACAAGUUAGACGUCCUCUAAUUUUGUUGUUGCAUGUUUUACGUGGUGACCAUGGGUAUCUAGUAGGAUCGCAUCUUACUUACGCAAACACCACAACGGAGAUAUAUGAGUUGUUAUUUAACCUCAUCCAAGGACCUCCUCGGUCAAAUCCGAUUCAACUAAAGUUGGAGAAACUGAUACUUGCCAGUCAUCUUUGAGCAACGGGGUUACUCGUAGCGAUGAAACCAGUCUCUUGUAAGCGUACGAGUAAUGUCGGUCCAAGCCGCUUCAAUCCAACAAUGCCGCGGAAUCAAGAAAAGACUAAGGAGGGCAGCAAAACGCACAUCACUGCCCACAAAAACUUUUGUGUUCUACUCGAGAAGACAUCUACGCAUGAACCUAGCUCAUGAUGCCACUGUUGGGGAACGUCGCAUGGGAAAAAAAAAUUCCUACGCGCACGAAGACCUAUCAUGGUGAUGUCCAUCUACGAGAGGGGAUGUGUGAUCUACGUACCCUUGUAGACCGUACAACAGAAGCGUUAGUGAACGCGGUUGAUGUAGUGGAACGUCCUCACGUCCCUAGAUCCUCCCCGCGAACCGUCCCGCGAUCAGUCCCACGAUCUAGUGCCGAACGGACGGCACCUCCGCGUUCAGCACACGUACAGCUCGACGAUGAUCUCGGCCUUCUUGAUCCAGCAAGAGAGACAGAGAGGUAGAAGAGUUCUCCAGCAGCGUGACGGCGCUCCAGAGGUUGGUGAUGAUCUUGUAUCAGCAGGGCUCCGCCCGAGCUCCGCAGAAACGCGAUCUAGAGGAAAAACCGUGGAGGUAUGUGGUCGGGCUGCCGUGGAAAAGUCAUCUCAAAUCAGCCCUAAAACCUCCGUAUAUAUAGGGGGAAGAGGGGGAGCCUUGCCUUGGGUCUCAAGGAGCCCCAAGGGGGUCGGCCGAGCCAAGGGGGCAAGGUCUCCCCCCCAAACCGAGUCCAACUUGGUUUGGUGGGUGGAGUCCUUCUUCCCUUUCCCACCUCCUCCUUUUUUUUUUCUUUUCUCUUUGAUUUUCUUCCUAUGGCGUAUAGGGCCUUCUUGGGCUGUCCCACCAGCCCACUAAGGGCUGGUGUGCCACCCCCAAGGCCUAUGGGCUUCCCCGGGGUGGGUUGCCCCCCCGGUGAACUCCCGGAACCCAUUCGUCAUUCCCGGUACAUUCCCGGUAACUCCGAAAACCUUCCGGUAAUCAAAUGAGGUCAUCCUAUAUAUCAAUCUUCGUUUCCGGACCAUUCCGGAAACCCUCGUGACGUCCGUGAUCUCAUCCGGGACUCCGAACAACAUUCGGUAACCAACCAUAUAACUCAAAUACGCAUAAAACAACGUCGAACCUUAAGUGUGCAGACCCUGCGGGUUCGAGAACUAUGUAGACAUGACCCGAGAGACUCCUCGGUCAAUAUCCAAUAGCGGGACCUGGAUGCCCAUAUUGGAUCCUACAUAUUCUACGAAGAUCUUAUCGUUUGAACCUCAGUGCCAAGGAUUCAUAUAAUCCCGUAUGUCAUUCCCUUUGUCCUUCGGUAUGUUACUUGCCCGAGAUUCGAUCGUCAGUAUCCGCAUACCUAUUUCAAUCUCGUUUACCGGCAAGUCUCUUUACUCGUUCCGUAAUACAAGAUCCCGCAACUUACACUAAGUCACAUUGCUUGCAAGGCUUGUGUGUGAUGUUGUAUUACCGAGUGGGCCCCGAGAUACCUCUCCGUCACACGGAGUGACAAAUCCCAGUCUUGAUCCAUACUAACUCAACGAACACCUUCGAAGAUACCUGUAGAGCAUCUUUAUAGUCACCCAGUUACGUUGCAAUGUUUGAUACACACAAAGUAUUCCUCCGGUGUUAGUGAGUUAUAUGAUCUCAUGGUCAUAGGAACAAAUACUUGACACGCAGAAAAACAGUAGCAACAAAAUGACACGAUCAACAUGCUACGUCUAUUAGUUUGGGUCUAGUCCAUCACGUGAUUCUCCUAAUGACGUGAUCCAGUUAUCAAGCAACGACACCUUGUUCAUAAUCAGAAGACACUGACUAUCUUUGAUCAACUGGCUAGCCAACUAGAGGCUUGCUAGGGACAGUGUUUUGUCUAUGUAUCCACACAUGUAAAUGAGUCUUCAUUCAAUACAAUUAUAGCAUGGAUAAUAAACAAUUAUUUUGAUACAGGAAUUAUAAUAAUAACUAUAUUUAUUAUUGCCUCUAGGGCAUAAUUCCAACAUUAAUUUGCCGUCUGCCCCCUCAUGGCAAAGAUUCUUUGCUGUCCGCUUUACAAAAGCAGACGGCAAAGAACCUCUUCACCGGAUUUUUUUUACCGUCUAGUUUGCCGUCUGCUCACCGAUGACAAAGCCUUUGCCGUCCGUGGAUCCCCCCUUUGCCGUCUGCCAUGGCAGACGGCAAAUUUCUGAAUUUCAGUAGUGUACCCCCUCUGCAUCUCAUGUGAUUUACGCAGGAGCGAGCCUUUUGACCCCGAGCCGAACCACCGCCAUGUGGGUUCUCCUCGUCAAUGAUUCCCUCGAUGCCAGCGAUUGCCUCUACCACCCACCGAAGCGCGGGAUGACGUCGAACACGUAGUUGACCUUCGGUUGUGUCGCUGUGGCUGGAAACGCCGCUGGUGAGCUCCCCCUCGCCCCUGUCAAGAGGUAGAUGACGACUGCAGGGUGGGACCCGUGCGUUAGUCUCUCCCUGCCUCUCUCUCUCGCUGAGAGAAGGGGCCCACGUGCAUGUUUAAAUUGAAACCUGUUGCGCGCACCCCUUCGCCCUCGGCACAUUUCAUCUGUGCCUGCUGUGCUCGCGUCAGUUUUGGCCGAGAAGGCACAUCACCCCUUUUUGUUUCCAAAUUAUUUAAAAUUUGCAAAAAAAACCAGGAUAAAAUAAUAGUCCAAAUACAGUAAUUCCAAUUUAAUGGUAUAACUUGUGUAAUUUUCACUAUAUCUUAAAAUGGUUUCCAAAAAAUUUUAAACUUCAAAACCAGAAUCCAAUAACUUUUACCAAGCUUAUAAGUACCCUACUAUUUUACAAAAUUGGCAUGACAUUUUUAGGAAGACUUUUUUCUCUGUUUUUGUCGUGCUCUUAUUUUUGCCCAUUAAAUUGCGACGAUAGAUUACGUCGUUGACGAGGGAAUUGGACCAGAAGACUUUGAAGACCCCGGAUACUUUAUUGAGCCAGGCAAACAACCCUUUGACCGUAUCUAGGCCUGGGCAUUCGGUUUAACCGAGCCAAUCGGUCCGUUUUUUGGGUAUUAAAAUAUUUCGGUUUCUUUAAACUGUAGACCGGUCGGUCCCUUAAAAAUUGCAUAAUCGAUAUUUUUUGGAACCAAUAAUUCGGUUCGAUCAUCGGUUUUGACUGAACCAAACUCAAGUUCACACAUAGUGUAUAGUAAUUUUCCUUUUUAGCAUGACUAUGCCGCUCGUGCAAAUGAAAUGGAUGGAAGUUGCUACCUUUAUAAGGCUGCGUACGCUUCCUUACUCAACAACAUUCGAGGUGGUACUAAACCAAAAGCACAUGUGGACGUGAAAAACUGUAUGGGCCGACUGCUAGAUCAAUCUUGGGCCUUAACAAACGUGUACGUGACGAAAACUGAGAUACGUCGUCCUGCUGAGCCAGUUCGGCUAGGAAAGCGACUAGCAAGGACAGAAAAUACAGGGAGGAGGAUGGCGUGUUAUUUAUUUUCGGUUUUUAAGCCUUUUUGGUUAAUUAAAUGUAAAAUCUGAAUUUUCCAAAUAAAUUUGGGUUCUGCAAAUUCAAGGACCAAAAUAGGACACAUAAUUUUCGGUUUCGGUUCAUUCGGUCUCGGUCUUGGUCCUUUCGGUUCGGUACAUCGGUUCUCGGUUAAUAUGCCCACCCCUAACCGUAUCUAAGAUGUUGGGAUCUACGUAGGUGCAUCGCAUGCGAUUUAAAAAUUCCUACGCGCAGAACAUCCAAGAACAUGCUAUGGAGAUGGAUCACAUAUUGUUACCACUAGACGCGCAGUGUCGUGCAGCGGAAGUAGAGUUGGGGUAGCGCGCCCGCGUGGUUCAUAUUCUCCUUGUCCGUUCUCCCUCGUGCAGCUGGUCCAAUCUCCAUCGUGAGGUCGGUCACCGGAUCUCGCGUACAGGCUCGCCGGAGCGGCACAAGUGCACCGCCUCUAAUGGUACCCGCACGUGCAGGAGGAACACACCGUGCGGCAGACUGCUAGGUCCGAUCACACGGUCGGUGAUAACCCAUAAGUAUAGGGGAUCGCAACAGUUUUCGAGGGUAGAGUAUUCAACCCAAAUUUGUUGAUUCGACACAAGGUGAAGCCAAAGAAUAUUCUCAAGUAUUAGCAGUUGAGUUGUCAAUUCAACCACACCUGAAAGACUUGUAUCUGCAGCAAAGUAUCAGUAGCAAAGUAGUGUGAUAGCAACAGUAGCAACGGGAAUGGUAGCAACAGUGACAACAGUAGCGACAGAGUAACAAUAGCAGCAGUGACAACAGUAGUGACAGAGAAACAGUAGCAGCAGUAGCGACAGAGUAACAGUAGCAACAACGGCAUCAAUAGCGGCAAAGUGACGUAGCGAGGACCAGUAGGAAAAACUCGUAGGCAUUGGAUCGGUGAUGGAUAAUUAUGCCGGAUGAUAUUCAUCAUGCAACAGUUAUAACAUGAAGAGAUAAGUAACUAGCUCCAGUUCAUCAAUGUAAUGUAGGCAUGUAUUCCGUAUAUAGUCAUACGUGCUUAUGAAAAGAACUUGCAUGACAUCUAUUGUCCAUCCCUCCCAUGGCAGCGGGGUCCUAAUGGAAACUACGUGAUAUUAAGGUUCUCCUUUUAAUAGAUAACCGGAACAACGCAUUAACACUUGGUGAAUACAUGAACUCCUCAUACUAUGGUCAUCUCCGGGAGUGGUUCCGGCUAUUGUCACUCCGGGGUUGCCGGGUCAUAACACAUAGUAGGUGACUACAACUUGCAAGAUAGGAUCUAGAACACACAUAUAUUGACGAGAACAUAAUAGGUUCGGAUCUGAAAUCAUGGCACAUGGGCCCUAGUGACAAGCAUUAAGCAUGGCCAAGUAGUAGCAACAUCAAUCUCAGAACAUAGUGGAUACUAGGGAUCAAUCCCCAUCAAAACUAACUCGAUUACAUGAUAGAUGUCAUCCAACCCAUCACCGUCCAGCAAGCCUACGAUGAGAUUACUCACAAACGGUGAAGAGCAUCAUGGAAUUGGCGAUGAAGGAAGGUUGGUAAUGACGAUGGCGACGAUUUCCCCUCUCCGGAGCCCAGAACGGGAUCCGGAUCUGCCCUCCAGAGGAAGAAUAGGAGGUGGCGGCGCCUCCGUAUCGUAAAACGCGAUGAACUCUUCUCCUUGAUUUUUUCGAAUGAAAGGGACUAAAUAGAGCUGGAGUUGAGGCGGUGGAGCUCCGUGGGCCCCACAAGCCUGCUAGGUGUGGCCAUGGGGGGCGCCUGGUGGGCUUGUGGGAUCCUCGCUCCACUUCUUUGGUUGAUUCUUGUGCCAGUAUUUUUUAUAUAUUCCACAAAAAAUCCUCGUAAAUUUUCAGGUCAUUCCGAGAACUUCUAUUUCUACGCAAAAACAACACCAUGGCAAUUCUGCUGAAAACAACGUUAGUCCGGGUUAGUUCCAUUCAAAUCAUGCNNNNNNNNNNNNNNNNNNNNNNNNNNNNNNNNNNNNNNNNNNNNNNNNNNNNNNNNNNNNNNNNNNNNNNNNNNNNNNNNNNNNNNNNNNNNNNNNNNNNGGCUUGUGGCCCCCCUGGAUCUCCCCUGCCCUAGCUCUUUGGCCUAUUUAUUCCCUAAAAUCCCAGAAAAAAUAAGGGCGUCCACGAAACCACUUUAUCGCCGCCGCAAGCUUCUGUUUCCGCGAGAUCUCAUCUGGAGACCCUUCCCGGUGCCGUGCCGGAGGGGGCUUUGGAGCUGGAGGGCUUCUACAUCAACAUCAUUGCCUCUCCAAUGACUCGUGAGUAGUCCACUUCAGACCUAUGGGUCCGUAGUUAGUAGCUAGAUGGCUUCUUCUCUCUCUUGGAUCUUCAAUACAAAGUUCUCCAUGAUCUUCAUGGAGAUCUAUCUGAUGUAAUCCUCUUUGGCGGUGUGUUUGUCGAGAUCCGAUGAAUUGUGGAUUUGUGAUCAGAUUAUCUAUGAAUUAUNAAUUAUAUUUGAGUCUUUGCUCAUUUCUUAUAUACAUGAUUUGAUAUCCUUGUAAGUCUCUCCGAGUCUUGGGUUUUGUUUGGCCAACUAGAUCUAUGAUUCUUGCAAUGGGAGAAGUGCUUGGUUUUGGGUUCAUACCGUGCGGUGACCUUUCCUAGUGACAGAAGGGGCAGCAAGGCACGCAUCAUGUUGUUGCCAUCAAGGGUAACAAGAUGGGCUUUCUUCAUAGAUUUGAGAUUGUCCAUCUACAUCAUGUCAUCUUGCUUAAGGCGUUACUCUGUUCUUAUGAACUCAAUACACUAGAUGCAUGUUGGAUAGCGGUCGAUGUGUGGAGUAAUAGUAGUAGAUGUAGAAAGUAUCGGUCUACUUGUUUUGGACGUGAUGCCUAUAUGUAUGAUCAUUGACAUAGAUAACGUCAUGACUUUGCGCGGUUCUAUCAAUUGCUCGACAGUAAUUCGUUCACCCACCAUCUACUUGCUUUCAUGAGAGAUGCCUUUUUCGAUAAGUAAGAGUGUCGAACCCAACUAGGAGCAGAAGGAUCUGACAAGUGGUUUUCAGCAAGGUAAUAUCUGCAAGCACUGAAAUUAUCGGUAACAAGUAGUUGUGUGGUGAGAUGAUUCGUAGCAAGUAGCAAGUAACAAAAGUAGCAACGGUGCAGCAAAGUGUCCCAAUCCCUUUUGUAGCAAGGGACAAGCCUGGACAAAGUCUUAUAGGAGGAAAAACGCUCCCGAGGACACAUGGGAAUUUCUGUCAAGCUAGUUUUCAUGAUGUUCAUAUGAUUCGCGUUCGUUACUUUGAUAGUUUGAUAUGUGGGUGGACCGGUGCUUGGGUACUGCCCUUACUUGGACAAGAAUCCCACUUAUGAUUAACCCCUCUCGCAAGCAUCCGCAACUACAAAAGAAGAAUUAAGACAAAGUCUAACCAUAGCAUUAAACUAGUGGAUCCCAAUGAGCCCCUUACGAAGCAACACAUAAACUAGGGUUUAAGCUUAUGUCACUCUAGCAACCCAUCAUCUACUUACUACUUCUGAAUGCCUUCCUCUAGGCCNNNNNNNNNNNNNNNNNNNNNNNNNNNNNNNNNNNNNNNNNNNNNNNNNNNNNNNNNNNNNNNNNNNNNNNNNNNNNNNNNNNNNNNNNNNNNNNNNNNNCGGAAGGUUUUCGGAGUUACCGGGAAUGUACCGGGAAUGACGAAUGGGUUCCGGGAGUUCACCGGGGGGGGCAACCCACCCCGGGGAAGCCCAUAGGCAUUGGGGGAGUCACACCAGCCCUUAGUGGGCUGGUGGGACAGCCCACAAGUGCCCAAUGCGCCAAGAGAAGAAAAAUCAAGAGGAAAGAAAAAAAAAGGAAGGAGGUGGGAAGGAAGGGGGACUCCUCCCACCAAACCAAGUCCAACUCGGUUUGGGGGGGAGUCCUCCCCCCCCCUUGGCUCGGCCGACUUCUUGGGGGUCCUUGGACCCCAAGGCAAGGCCCCCCCCUCCCUCCUCCUAUAUAUAUGGAGCAAUUAGGGCUGAUUUGAGACGACUCUCUCACGGCUGCCCGACCACAUACCUCCACGGUUUUUCCUCUAGAUCGCGUUUCUGCGGAGCUCGGGCGGAGCCCUGCUGAGACAAGGUCAUCACCAACCUCCGGAGCGCCUUUACGCUGCCGGGGAACUCUUCUACCUCUCCGUNACAAGGUCAUCACCAACCUCCGGAGCGCCUUUACGCUGCCGGGGAACUCUUCUACCUCUCCGUCUCUCUUGCUGGAUCAAGAAGGCCGAGAUCAUCGUCGAGUUGUACGUGUGCUGAACGCGGAGGUGCCGUCCGUUCGGUACUAGAUCGUGGGACUGAUCGCGGGAUUGUUCGUGGGGCGGAUCGAGGGACGUGAGGACGUUCCACUACAUCAACCGCGUUCUCUAACGCUUCUUCUGUACGAUCUACAAGGGUACGUAGAUCACUCAUCCCCUCUCGUAGAUGGACAUCACCAUGAUAGGUUUUCGUGCGCGUAGGAAUUUUUUUUGUUUCCCAUGCGACGUUCCCCAAUAGCAAGCCCCACCCAAAGUGUAAACUCAAAACAACGGACAACUGCAUUAACGAACUAUGCGUAAGGUAAACAAUCCUUGCAGCCGUGGUCACAAGCACCGUUGUUUUCUACCUGGUGGCAACAAGCACAUCCCCUAGUCUCAUGUUUCUGUCACUAAAGCUAGACAUCGAGGGGCAUGAACCCAUAAUCAUGCAUAACGCUCCCUCUUGGAGUUACAAUCUACUACUCGGCCAAAGCAAUAAAUAGCAACGGAGANNNNNNNNNNNNNNNNNNNNNNNNNNNNNNNNNNNNNNNNNNNNNNNNNNNNNNNNNNNNNNNNNNNNNNNNNNNNNNNNNNNNNNNNNNNNNNNNNNNNACAAUUGAGCAAUGAGCUACCUGCAGAAUCAUGGCUCUCCAAGUAGCAUUUUACUUUCUAAUAACACAGAUGUGAACGAAGCUAGUUGCAGGUUCAUAUGUGUUGACACAAUAUGCCAGAAGAAUAUUCUCUGUUGCCUGCUUGCACCUUUUUUCUGCUGGAGCAUUCUUUCUUUCCACGUGUCUUAUAACUUUGUGCUAGAUAAUGACAGUAUAUCUAACCCUUUGCAGGUGAGACCACCAUCAGAGCGUCAAUGCUGCACCAUGGGCGCAAUAGCACUUGAUUAGGCCUUCCAGCAAUCCCAAUGCAUGAUUGAUCAUAUUUCAUGGUUCAACGACUUCAGACAUGCCGCCCGUAGUAGUGCGAGAGUUCAUCCUGUGUUACAUAGGAGUUGUCGAACCAUCGGAAUUAGAUCUCAUAUGUUCCUGUUGGUAGCAUGUAAAUUUGGGUGUCAAACUGCUUUGUGGGUGUGUAUUGGUUACCCACCUCAGAUAUGUGUAAAAGGCCGCAUAGAAACGGAGGAAAUGACUGGGCCCGUGUUGUUUACACUUUGUUACUGCAAUGAUAUCCAGUAGCAUUUUCACGGGAAAGAUGGCUUGAGUUGACCGGAAAGUUACCAAUAAAGCAUGUUGGCUUUAAAUUUGAGUUUAUGUUAUCCUGUUUGCGUGGGAUGAUAUCAUGGCUUGGUUUUGCUUUUCUGCAGCAAAUUUUUAUGUUCCCUCGGUGAGCAACUACUAGUAAAGAUUAUGAGUGUUGCAGCGAUGGUAAGUCGCAAAGUAGCAUGCACUUUCAAUGACUAGUGGGCAGUGGUCGUGGGGCAGCAAGAUGGUGCUGAGUGAGUGGAUGCUUUUGACGGGAAGGUGUCCGUUUUGCUACUAAAAUAUCUGUAUAAUCGCACCCUCACAGGCUUGGUUUAGUCUGAAAUUGUGUAGUGUAUUGCUAAAUAAUCGCUAAGGGACACACGGGGCUGCUAAAGAGUGGCGUCUGCUUUGGCAAUGUCCCUGUCGCCGGAUGCUUCUGCUUCAUUUGCACUUCUAUAGUUCUAUUCUCUCUCGGCAUGGUUUUUUGCUGGAGUAGUAGUAUACUGAGCAUCGAAAGAAAACAUGUUUGUUUCCCAAGUCACAUGUUGAGGUUGGCGCGAUCCGAU